rnacentral:lncRNA from 1 species
UUUUUUUUUAGUCCGAAUGCCUUUUGAUUAUGUGUACCGGCUACAACACGAGUGAAGAUGUUUUUGAAUUUUUUAGUAAAAUACAUAAGAAGUCCAUUAAGUUGUAAGCAUAUGUCACUUAGAUUCAUGAAUUUCGAAAGUGCAUUUUUGGACUCAUAAACUUGCUAAGUCAUUCACUGCAAGUCCAUACCCCACCACAUGGGCAUUUAGCCUUGACAUGGCACGGUGACUGGGCAUCUUCUCUCUCAUCCCUCUCAUCUUCCUCUCUCUCCCUCCCUCUCGCUCUAGCAUUUCAUCGAACAUGUCACGGUGGUGGCGGUACGGAGCUCUUCAUCUGCUUCACCUCCCGCUUCUCCGUCGCCGGCGCUUCGUCCUCCCUCCAACACCAUCAUCUCCUCAGCUGGCACAAUAACGGCUCCCUUGCUAACCUCACCACGGCAGCACCGCACAACCAGUUGCCCCAGCCAAUGGCAGCACCACACAGCCAGUUGCCACAGCCGACGCACGCUGGCACCUCUUUUUUAUAGAUCUAAAAAUGCACUUUUCGAAGUUCGUUGAUCUAAGUAAGAUAUCCUUAUAAGUUGAUGGACCUUCUAUCUAGAAGAGUAAAUGUGAUGAUUGCUAUCUGGUAAUGAUGCUUUUGUUCUCUAGAGCUUUGGAAUUACUCACGGGCGCUGCUAGCACUGCCUCUCUGCAAAGGCGCUUUGGAUGAGGCCUAGGAUAGGCUCGAGUUGAUUCGAUCGAUUUCUUCUCACGUCGAAAGGAAAAAUAGAUUUCUCCUGCACCCCACUUGUGUGUAUAUAUGGUCAAGGAGUCCUACCUUGUUUGGGGUUCGUCAGCAGAAAUCCUAACAGCAAAAGCAUCAUCUAGUUGACCAGGAGCCCAAGAUCUUGGUCCAAGCUGAAUCAACGAAGGCAUGGAUCGAUAUAGCUCCAGAACAGAAACCGAAACGACGGCGACAAGUGGUGUUCAGGGAAGAGGGGAGCAGGGACAGGUUGCUUUCGCGCAGAGCAACGCUGGCCGGUGCGGGACGAGUACGGGUGCAGAUGGAAUCUAUUAAAGACCCCCGAUGGGAGCACAACCACCAUCACCCAUGGCGAUCGAUGACGACGAUGCCGAUCUAUCCGACACCGAAUCCAACCCGCCACUUGAAUGCGCGUCCCAUCCCCGCGUUCAGUGCUCUCCCUCUUCCUCCUCUCGACCACGCACAGCAGCUACGGAGCCUGCUCCUCCAUGGCUCCUGUUUCACCUCGCAUUUGCCGCUCGGUCGGCUCCCGUUGAGUUAAAACCUAAUUAACCUAGCCGGUCGAUCCAUUCAAAGCUACGGGCAGUACACGUACGAGUGCUAGCUCGACGCAGUAAUGCAAUGGUAGUUGGCCGGGGAUCGAUCUCCAUAGCGCCGUAGACAUCAGGAACACACAGCAGAGGAAGAACAGGGCCUGAAUGCCUGACGAGAAACAGCACCGUACACAUACACGGGUUCCAUGGAUCGAUGUGGUAGUAUAGUACUUUUCAAGUUUUAUAACAGCAGGGAAUUAAUUAAAAACAACACGCGUGGAUUAUUGAGAACGAAAUUGAACAGAUGGUGGUGGUCGGAGUAUCGAGCUCUCUCUCGUGUCUCGUGCCUCGAUUCCUCCUCGUGUUCUUGAUGGGCGGAAACAGAUGUAUCUUCUCCUCAUCCUCUUCCUCAGACGUGGUGGUAGCUGUGUGUGUGAAACUGCGAAUGGUGGACGGACGGUAGCAGUAAAUGGCCAUGGUGGGCGGCCGCCACGGCGGACGGACGGAUAGGGUUCAGUUCUUGGCGGCCACCGCCUCGGCGUGCUUGUGCGGCACCUCCGUGCUCAUCUCCUUGAGCUUCUCCUCCACCUUGUCAACGGCGGCGGCGGUGGAGUCCUCCUCCUUGUCUUCCUUCUUCUCUUCCCCGGCGGCGGCGGCGGGGGCCUCUUUCUUGGGCUCCUCUUUCUUCCCCUCCUCGGCUCCCUCUUUCUUGUCCGCCACCACUUCCUUCGCCGCAGCGCCGUUGCCGUUUCCGUUGGCGACGACCUCACCGGCCCUGGCAGCAGCAGCGGCGGCGGCGACCGGCGGCGGCCCGUCGGCCUCGAACGCCUCGACGGGGAAGGUCCUGGACAAUCCCCCGAUAGCCUUGCAGUGGAGCUUGCCCUGGGGCGGGUCAUCCACACAGAUCUCGUGGAGCGUGACCCAGAUGAGCAUCUCCUUGGCCUUGACGCCGGUGAUCUUCUUGAGGCGGCCCUUCUCCGCGACCGCCGACACCUCGGCGCCGUAGGAGACGUGGCGCCCGGCCUUGGCGAAGUAGUGGUCCACCUUGCGGCGCUGCUUGAGCCACACGAACCCCGUCUCCUCCACGUACCCGCACUCGACGAUGUCCUUGAGCGGGAGGAGGCCGCUGGGAAGGCCCGUCUCCUCGAGGAGGAGCCGGGUCUUCUCCUGACCCGCCGCGUCGCCCACGUAGAUCUCCGCCUUGGCGCGCACGUCCUCCGGGAUCGUCAGCGUCAUCCUCGCCGGCUGCGGCGGCGGUCGACCGGUGGUGGUGGUGGUGGUGGCGAGGAGGACGAAGAGGGGAGAUGCCGGUGGUGGAAGGGAGGGGUUAGUUGGAGGCAAGGAUGGCGUGUUUGGAGAAGGGAGCAUGAGGCGCGUGCUUUAUAUAGGAGGAGAUCGAGCUGAGCAGGGGUGGGAGGAGUGUCCCAGCUCACUCGCAUACAAAAGCUCUUAGUUUGGAGUUUAUUAUCGAAAAAGAAAAGUUUGGUUCGGAGAUAACAAGAGAGGGGUGAGUGUCGGGGGAUGCGGUUGGGAGUUGCCAAUGCAAUAUCUUCCCUUUUUUUGCCCUCGGAGAAUGAAUUUAAUUUGAUUUUGAUAUGGUAUAAUUGAGAUGUGCCAGGGCCUAGGAUGCUACGGUGUGUGCCGUCUUUUCACAUCCGUAUUAUAACGACGUUCACCCGAAUGUUUGUAGCCACCGUGACAAUGUCGUCUACGACGGCCGGCCGGCGGGGGUGCUCUUGCGGUCGCGGAUCCCGCGACGGCCGGCGGCCGUCGAUCUAGGAUCCGACCGCCGCACGUGCGCCGGCCGCGGGCCACCCGCCUUGCCAUUAAUGGGGCGCGGUUAGUUGGGAGCGGAGGAGGGAGGAGGACGUGGAUGGUGGUGGGGGCAAUCAAGUGAGGGCCGGUGGAGGAGCUUCAAUUCCGCAGCUGCCCCAGCUAAUUGCAGGUUCGCAGUGGAGCGGACAGUGGGGGGUGGACUCGCAUCGCUCUCGGUGGCAGUUAGCUGGAGUGCUUGUUUAUCGAUCGCACCUGUGCACCGGAGGUGGCAAGCUGCUGAUCGGAAGCAGUUUGACCUGACUGUCGUACGUACAUCCAUGAAACAUUAGAAAGAUUUGUACAAUCUUAAAUACGGGUUUAACAUCGAGACGCUUCUGACAUGAAAAUCAUGGCGCAGUACAACAUAGUCUACAUGGAAAGAUAUGAACUAGUCGAGGAUUACGAAAGUACUCCCUCCGUAUAGGAUUUAGAGGUCGUUUAGGACAUAAUUGUGCUUAUCAAGGAGUGAUUAAUUAGGAGGUAUUUUUCCUAUCUACCCUUAUUAAAUACGUUUGCAGGUGUAUUCCGUAUGAGAAACUUGUGCAGCUGAGACGGCUAGUGCAUGGAGGCGUGAGGAUAGUGAGCUGAGUUUGAAACUUGGCGGAUGCAUAUUUUUUGCUGUGGCUUGAUUUUGCGUGGCACUGUUUGGCGCGUGCAUGGCGCUCGGAUUUGUUUUUUUCGCGUUUGUGUGCGGCGGAGGCUGCAUGUCCCUGUUUCGGAUAGGCGUGGCCGCUCGCGUUUGGCUACAUGGCGCUCUUUUUUUUUGCGUUUGGUCGCGGCGGAGGCUGCAUGGCCCUGCUUCGUCUAGGAUUUGGUUGCAUGGCGCUCGCUGAUUUCGUUUUGGCGCUCGUUGUUUUCGUUUUGGCAUUCGCUUCCUUUGCUAUUUAAACAGAGCGGUCCCUUCCUCUUCCUACCUCUUCUCUCUUCACUUAACGCUGCAAUGGGUGAUUUCUUCCCCGGCUUUGAUCUGAAUGUGCGUUUAGAAGAAGAUGACGACGGCAAUGUUCCCCUGGAUCUCAACAAGCUAAUAAUGGAGGAUGACAACAACAAUGGUAAGCAACAACGUCAAAUUACUUUCUCAGUUUGUGCCUACUAAUGUUUGCUUUUUUACAAGUAGAACAUAAUGUGGAAGCUCCUGUUGAAGAACCCCACCGAAGAAAAGAAAUGUCUGAAGAGCUCCGAAAACAAGUUUAUCAAGCUUUGUUGGCUUGAAGCAAUAAUGGGAAACUAGGCAAGAAAGAUACUACAAUUGUUGCUGAUCAAUUUGACCUUCACAUUCGGUCAGUUCAGUGUUUAUGGAAGCGAGGUAAAACACAACUUGCAAACUCUGUUCCAGUUGUGGUUUCUAGUCUAAAGAAGGGUAAUGUUGGUUGUAAGGCAAUCUCUGUUGAUUUGGAAGCAUUGCGCGACAUCCCUCUAAAGGAAAGAAUGACUAUAGGGGAUGUGUGUACCAAACUUAACAUGAGCAAAUGGAAGAUUCAAAAGUAUUUGAAAAAAGGUUUGCUUAGACGCCACUCUAGUAGCAUCAAACCAUAUCUCACUGAAGCUAACAAGAGGUCUAGAUUAAAGUGGUGUGUUGACAUGAUUAAGAGGGAUUUCCUUGCUGAUCCAAGGUUUAAGGAUUUGUAUGACUUUGUGUUCAUUGAUGAAAAAUGGUUCUACCUCUCUCAAAAAUCUGAAAAAUAUUAUUUGCUACUCGAAGAAGAUGAUCCUCAUCGGACUUGUAAGAACAAGAAUUACAUCCCUAGGCUCAUGUUCUUGUGUGUUUGUGCUCGGCCAAGGUUUAGGAAUGGGAAUUGUAUUUUUGAUGGUAGGAUUGGUUGUUUUCCACUUGUUCAAUAUGAACCGGCUAUGAGAGGUAAUGAGAGAACUGGCCGUGUACUGGGAGACUUGGUUAUGAAACCCAUACCUUCGAUCACAAGAGACGUGAUUAGAGAUUUCAUGAUCAACCAAGUGUUGCCUGCCAUUCGAGCCAAAUAGCCAAGAGAAGAUGUGGGUAAAUCAAUCUUCAUUCAACAGGAUAAUGCACCUUCCCAUUUGAAAUUGGAUGACCCGGAUUUUUGUGAGGCUGGUAAGCAAGAAGGAUUCGAUAUUCGCCUAAUUUGUCAGCCAUCCAAUUCUCCGGAUUUCAACAUUCUUGACUUGGAUUUUUUUUUCGAGCUAUUCAAGCAAUUCAAUACAAGAAGAAUGCAAAAAUAAUAGAAGCUCUAGUUCCAGCAGUGCAAGAGGUAAUUUGAUCAAAUUGUUCACACAUGUUUCAUUGUUUCUUCAAUAAAAAAUUUGCUCAUUCAUUCAUUUCUUGCACACUUGUUUUGUAGGCAUUCAUAGAAUAUUCGGCACACAAAGCAAACCGAAUGUUUCUAACACUACAAAGUGUUUUGAUGGAAGCUACGAAGGUGAAAGGAUGCAACAAGUUCAAGAUUCCUCACAUGCAAAAAGAAACAUUAGAAAGAGAAGAUCGGCUGCCAACUUCUAUCCCUUGUGAACCAUCUUUGCUAGAUGAAGACGAGGCUACUCUUGCUGCAUCAAACAAUUAGAAUGAUGCUAGUUAGCUUAAUUAGUAGAGACAUCCUUGUAAUAGUUAAUUAGAACUAAAACUAGUUAUCUUACCGAUGCUUUGGCGUCAUCCUUUCCCGGCAGCAGCUCCUUGUAAUGGUUAAUGAAAAGCUCGCAGUCGAACUCAUCAAGGCCGUGAAGCAUGGCGUCAAUUAUGUAGUCUGCGUGGACGAGACUGCAGCGAGAGCAUGGUCAGAACCGCGAGUACGCACGAUUCCAUGCUUGGCGGUCCCAUGCACGAGAUGACAACGAGCGCAUAUAAAAGAGCCCGGCGGCAAGGAAUCUGGCACCAUCUCCGAGUCCGGCGCGAGCUCCUGCAACUCUGGCGUGAUGGAGUCCAGCGCCAUCUGCGAGUCCGGCACCACCUCCAUCUCCAAGUCCGGCGCGGUGACCUCCUCCUCCUCCUGCGACUCCGGCGCGACGACCUCCUGCGGCUCUGGCGCGAAGAGCUCCUACGACUCCGGCGCAAUCUCCUCCGACUCCGACGCGACGAGCUCUGGCUUGAACUCCAUGGUUUGGAACGGCGGGAGUGGGAGGCGAGAGCUGAUGAGCAGCGAGCGCGAGAGGCCAGCUGCGAGAGUCACAGGCCAGCGGCGAGCAAACGAGUGCGAGCAACGAGCAGAUAUUAACAUGGCGCAGGAGCCCGAGCGCGGCGCUAUUAAUGCCUGCAUGGCGCUUGCAUGCCGCUGUUUGGGAGCCCAAGCACAGCGCAAUUACCGCGACGUGGGAGCCGGAGUUAGCGCAUAAAGGGGUAGCGUCGUCCAAAACUUUACUUCUACGCUAGAACGACUUCCUUUCCUCAACUUUGCUUCUGCACUAGAACGACUUCUAAAUCCUAUACGGAGGGAGUACUCGUUGUAAUAAGAGUACAACUUCUCUAAUCAUAUCCGACUAGUAUUCUUGUAACCAACCAACCUGUAACCCUGCUCCCGACAAUAUAAGGUGAGGUAGGGACCCCAUCUAAAGCAAUUCAAUCCAACCAACACACAUGACGUAAGCUAUUACGCAAUCUAGCGGUCCGAACUUGUCUAAAUCGUGUGUUUGCGUUUAACUUCGAGUUCCUGAUCCCGACGAGCCCUACUAACCAAAACACUACCUCGGGCACCCCCCCUCGAUAGGUUAUCGGGUUUAAACACCAACAGCUAACAUGCCAGGUAGAGGGCCUCGCCAAAAAUCCACUAGCGAACUCGAUGGCACAAGUCAUCAGCAAGCCAAUCGUCAUGUUCGAAGCAGGCACGACAUUCGUCUUCAACUUCUAGGUUUGCAUCGCAGACGGCGCUAGAAAUUUCCACUGCCAUAUUGCGUCGGCCCCGGAGAAGAAGCAGCAAACCAUGAAACUCCAGCGCCAAAUUCUGGAGGAGCCUCGUCGAGAGUUUCGACAAGUUUUUCAAUUUCUGACCUAGUCAGAGGCUGGGGGGAUGAGUCUGAGUUCAACUCGACUUCUUCCACCAGUCGGAUUGACUUUCACGAGCCGGCACAUAAGCCAUCGUGAAGUGGGCUUAUAGAAAUCCAGCAAGCCCCGGAAGAAAUCUGAAGUUGACAAUGCGAGACCCCGCUCAAUGAAGUGGGCAAAUAUUACCGUCUCAUUGGGGUAGGUCUCCAGUGGGCAGGUGUUGUCAUAAGCAGAUCUUCAGUUGAUGAAGUUCUAAUCUUGGAGUAAAUUGGCGGUUACGAGCAUCUUGUUAUCCUCCUCCUUUAGAGUUGACCGCUUCCAGGCACAGACGGGAUUUGGCGACGCAGUCUGAUCGGUAUUCCCGUACUUGAGUGUCGGCAACUGCGGCUCUUUCUUCUUAUCAGAUCUUUUCUUCUUCUCGCCCUCGCUCGCUUUGGAUGCGGUAGCCUUCCUUCCCAUCUUUGAUGUCACGAGUAUUUUCAGUCACAUACGCUCAGGGGCUGCUUGGUGGGGGGAUGGCUGUGCAGGUGUUCGAAGAUCGAACAAUGGUGGUGGCGGGCUAAUGUGUGGAAGUUGGAAAGGGAAAUGGUAAAGGUAAAACGGAAGGGAUAACUUCCUCCGUUAUUUAUCACAGUGGUGCGGUAACAACUGCGCAAAUAAAGAGAUUUCGAUUUAAAGGAUCCCCAAAUUUUGGGAUACUUGAUUGGCAGUUACCUAUUUCAGGAAAAGAUAAAUCUCUUUCCAGAGAUGGUCACGUUGACCAUAGGUUGACCCUUCUACGCACCAAACUAGUUGGCUAAAAGCUCGGGGGCUAUGUGCCACGUGUUCAUCGACAAAAAAGUUUUUCCUCCGGAUUUUAAGGGAAAGCGAUGCAAAUUACAGACCCUCAACUUGAUUCUUCGAUUCAACCUAAGGCUCGGGGGCUACUCCAUUUGGAGUGCGACUUUCGUCGCACUUCCAUAUAAAAUUCAAGGUUGAAAGAUACAAGACUAAAGUUGAAUGAGGCUUAAGCACAUUCUAGCCGCAUGGCAGUCUUUGAGUACCUUUGAAAAUUCAACCAGAUGAAGUACUUGAAAAGCACCAAAACUAGUCGGUGAAGUCUACGAAAGUCCUCGGAACUGCUGCAUUUGACUAAAAAGUACUCGGGGGCUUGUCAUAUAUACAUCUAUGAGCCCACUAGAAUCUUUGGAUAGUCCUAAAUAUAGGGCUGGACAUCGAAACACAUCGGAUAUGGAGAUCAUUGCGCAGGACGGCGUAGUCUAUAUGGAAAGAUAGGAACUAGUCGAGGAUUAGGAAAAUACUUAUUGUAAUAAGAGUAGAACUACUUUAGUCGUAUCCGACUAGUAUACUUAUAACCAAUCGACCUUUAACCCUGCCCCAUCAAUAUAAGGUGAGGCAGGGACCCCUCCAAAGCAAUUCAAUCCAACCAAUAUACACGACGUGGGGUAUUAAACAAUUUAGUAGCCUGAACCUAUCUAAAUUGUGUGUUUGCGUUUAAAUUUGAGUUCCUGAUCUCAACGAACUCCACUAACCAAAACGUUGCCUCAAGCACCCAUCGGUAAGUUAUCGGAUUUAAACACUGAUACUAACGUGUUCCGAUUCAAAACGCUACGCUGGCGGCGGCAAGAGAGCGGAGGAUCGGAGCUCUCCAACGGCCAGAAUGUUGUGGGUGGAAGCAGUAGCCUCUGCGGCGCGGCGCAGGCAGCCGAUACAAUGCCUCCCUCCUCGGCCGCCAGGAGACGACGAGUCGACGACGACGCCUCUGCGGCUCUGCCUGCCUGCAAGGUCAAAACCGUGUGGUUGUGGCGGGGAGUCGCGUCGCGCCUGCAGCUCGCCUUCACUGCGCUGCUGGCUUCUGCUGCCUGCACGUGAACCGCACCAGUGCCGUGCCGGGAGUCCGGGGCUGUAGGGAGAUGGCGCUGCGCUACCUGUGACUCUGCUUUUUAUUUUUUUAUUAAGCCUCGUCAUCAGCCGGACAUCCAUGGCGCGGCGCGUCAGAGUGGGGCGUCCCGUACUCUACUCAUCCAGUGGGCCCGGCCGGACAACGCGUCUUCGCUGCUCCACCCCAACUCCACAUUCAAAGCGGCGGCAGCACGGCGCCACCGGACGGGCACGGCCGCGGCCGCGAUCCGUCAUCCGUGCGCGGCCGGCACGCGCAUACCUGAGCUACGCAGCGGGAGGGGCAGGGCAGGCCGCCGCAUUCAUGGCCGCUGCGUCACCCGCCACCCUGCUGCCUGCCUCCGCUCACCACCCACCCAGCUGGGCUGCCAUGAUGACGGCGACGAGGAAGACGACGGCGGUGAGCUCUCACAGUCUCACCCGUUUCUCUCUGACUGCUCGUGCGGUCACGCCGGGCAUGCGUGCGGUUAGAUACGGGCUAUCUGUCAGCUAACCGCAUGGGGAUACGGAUGACGAUGGUUACCCGUGCAAUGCAGAGGCCAAAAUUCUCCUACACAAACCAAACCACCAGUCCACCACCAAUGUUUUCCCAGCAAAACGAGCUGGUUUUUUUUCCCCCGACCCUUUUUGUUUUGCCCCCUCCUAAACGUCCCCGUGAUGAUCAUACAGUAUUCAAUGGACGCAGCGGAUUCCCGCUCUAGGCUCCAGAGCAGCAUGGCCAAGCCUCGACUCGAAUGAAUGCCAACACGCCAUGCGACGAUGCUGGCAGCAUGGCCGCCGCCGCCGCCGCCGCCGCCAACGCGCUCCCUCGAUCCAUCAGCUGCAGGCAGCUCGCCGCUCAUGGCCGCCCGCCGCCGCCGACUCGCUGCCCAUGCUCAUCAGCGUGGUCAGGUGCGGGAUCUCCUUGGGCACCGACGCCGUCAGCACCUGCACCCAGCCACACCGGCAUCAAUAAAAUCCCCGACGCCAACAACGGCAUUCACCACCGAUCACCACCCCCAACGCCCAACGUCGAACGAACACCGCGUGCUACAUACCUCGUGGCCGUCCUCGGUGACGAGGACCUCGUCCUCGAUGCGGAUCCCGAUGCCGCGGAACCUCCCCGGCGCGCGCUCGUUCAGGACCGGGGCCGGCGGGAUGUACACGCCGGGCUCGAUCGUUAUGACCUGCACAUGGACAACGAGAAAACACACACCAUCCUUGUUGUCAGCCAGUGCUGCUGCCGUGCUGGAGGGAGCUCCAAAGAUGAACGGACAAUGGAGUUAUUGGUGCCCCGGGGCCGCUGCCAUCCGGCAAUGGCAGCGAAGCACCUACGCGCGCUACACUUGGCGGCUCAGUUGGGUGACAACAGGGCAGGAGCAACUGCGGAGGGGUUAAGGUGAUACGCCAAAUAUGGAAAGGAAAGCACAGUGCUACAGCCUAAUAUCCUGAGACGCCAGUUGGAUCGCUAGCUGUACCAAAGAUUCAGGGCGAUACGCCAAGACCGAGGGUUGGAGGGUCCGGGGAAACUGAAGUAACUAGGGUAGGAUGUAGGAGGAGGAAGAGAGACGUAGCAUCGGCUACUUACCACGCCGGGCUCCAAGGGUUUGUCCUUGGGGAGCGUCACCGAGUCAUGAAUGUCCAUGCCUAACGAGUGACCUGGAAUCCGGGACACCAACACAGAUGGACAUGUUAGGCUCUGGUCCGUGGUCCCCCAGGGCUGGGGGCACCCCACCACCAUCUCUUGCAUUCAACACCAAAUCUAGAGAACAGAUGGACAGCGGGACGGACCUAUCGCGGUCGGGUUCAGGUAGUUGUAUUGGAUGGACUUCCCCUUCUCCAGGAUCCCCAGUUCUUGGAAUCCCUUUAUCAGCAUUUUUACCUGCAUCCCAGAGAUUUUGAGAUUAAGGAGGAUCUUCUGAAACUUUCAUGACAUUUAAUUUACGUAUUUUCGUGAAAAUGAAAAUAGAAAGAAAACCAGAAUGACACCAGAGACAUACCGAAUGAUUGUGUAUCUCGUUGAUGCUUGUGCCCGGUUUACAGAGCUUUAUGCACUCUUUAUUUGUCUCCAGUAUUAGGCUGUAGAGCUCUUCCUGGAGUCAGUCAUGAUGAGGAUUCAAACUAUGAGCUCAAGUCUUCAAAAAUACCAAACUAGACCAACUGUUUCUGGAGUAUACUAGUAUUGCGUAUACAUAAAUAGGACAGUAAAAGUCGAGCACUUACCUGAGCAGGAGAAAAUCUGCCACAUGGUGGCCAUGUUCGAGUCAGAUCACUAAGGUAGCCAUGAUACUCACAGCCAACAUCCAUGAGCAGAAGAUCACCUGUUUUGAUCUGUCAAACAGCUGCGUUAUUGACUUCACAAGAAAAUAGCUCUGAGAUGUGGAAUGGUCCAACGAGAGACAAGAAAAGGUCCUCACUUUUCUAUCGUUUCUUGAGUAGUGUAUAACACUGCCAUUUGCUCCUCCACCAACUACAGGAUGGAACCUACACGGAAACAAAACACAAGGUAAAUCAUCUGAUACUAGCACCUUGCUCUAUCAACAAAGAAUAGUGAGUUCCUUGAUCCAAUUAUGAUCUCAUAUUGCAUACGCACAAGAACUUAAUUCAGCUAUCAAUUAACAAAUGAAUGGAUAGGAAGAAUACACGGCAGAAUACUUACGCCAUUCUUUGGGCACCUCUCAUUUUGCACUCAUAUUCAAUCUUAGCUGCCAGCUGGCUUUCCUCCCUGUGGGUCCUCGAUAGCAACAUCGUUUGUAAAAGAGACUGGUCAGGAAAAGAGAAUCAGUCAGUACGCACAUAUUCAAGUCAAUAGUUAAUACAGUAUUUAUGUGUCUCUAAGACAGUCACUUGAUCUUGUGUUUUAGCCUUUUGGGUUUGACAAUUUGUGUCCUGUAUCCUACCAUAUCCCUAAUAGAAACAGACGUACUGUAUUUUCAUUGAGUACUUGUUGGAGGCCCAACCAAUAGUAGCGAAAUGCAUUAUGUGGGGUGUCUGAGUGCACAAAUCUAUGUUAUGGAGCCAACCAGGAGGCAGGAAAAUAUGUGCAUGACAGCAUGGUACAGAUAAUCAUUAGGGAAAUAGUGUACCUUUGGGUUUAUCAAACCAAAAAGGACUACAUAAUUUCAGCGGGCUUUGUUGGAAGCCCAAUCAAUAAUAGGGAGAUGAUCUAUGUGGGGCGACUGAGUGCACAAACCUGAGUUAUGGAGCCAGCCGGAAGGGAAAUAUCAAAUAUGUGCAGGACAGCGUGGUACGAAUAGUAAUUAUGGAAACAGUGCACCUUUUGGGUUUACCAAACGAAAAAGGACUACACAUUCAUUCGUAACUACCUAAUUAGCUAAAGUACCUUGGGGGCCUGUCUAGUUCUCUACCAACAGUUUUUCCUGCAUCAACCCCAAUAGUUCACCUAUAGAAAUAAAAACCCAGUUUGAACCUUCCCAACCUGAAUGACUCUAGUUCUAAUAACUGUAUCAGAUGGAGGCAAAACUAAAAUUCUGAACUGUAAUAUCAAACACAUUUCAGCAAAUUCUCUAUGCAGGUUGAACUGAGAAUUUAAGACUGUUCCAAAAAUCAUGGGAUGCCAGUGGCAAUUUUAUUACCAAAAUAUACCUGAGAAACAAUAGAUGCCGAUUCCCUCAUCAACUUAAUUUCAGAUUUUGACUUGAUCCACCGUAAUUCAUCGGUGUAAUAUGUAAGAUCUUUUACUUUAUUGUUGAGGGACGCCCGGCGGAAGGCAUCCAAGUUCUUGUAAGAAGAUGAUGAUGUCUUUACAUUGUGAUAUACCCCUUUUGACUGCUCAAUCAUUUCAGGAAGGAUCUGUAUUUCAGUAGCAAUGGUGUUAGUGGUAGAAAAUUCAGUAAUUAACAACUAACAAAGUUGUACUAGCAGGAAAUAACAGGUAGUGAUCAAAAUUGACAACAAAUAAUGCUGGAAGAAAAUCUGAGUGCAGACCUUUUGCAUCUGACUAAGUGAAAAUGCUUUAUCCGCUUUAAAGAAUUCCACAGCUGCCUCAAUUCCAGCAGUUUGACCUUGCCAAACUACAUCCUAGCAGAAUUACACAUUAAUAAGAAUUACGUGGCAUACUUCGAAAAGGUAUCAGAAUAAGAGCUCAUUACCUCCUUAUUUGUAUCAGGCAUGAACAUGCAUAGUCCGGUUUCUUCACUCAAAACUGCUACGCCACCAGGUUGUGUACAACCAGUAAUGUACAGGUAAUCACCAUUCUGUCUGAAUGGAUAGGGCACUACAUCAGUCAUCAUCUGCUGAUCAGCAGAGGCAAUAAUGGCCAAGCUCUUUUCCGGCAGCACCUCCAAAAGCUUUUUUCUUCUAGAGAUGUACUCCUCAGUUGUGAUGCCUGGUGUGAUCUCUCCAUCAGCUAAUAACUGGCUCAUAGUGACACAAUGUUUAAGAAACAAAUAUAAAACCAAGUGGUUUAAGAAACAAAAUAAUAGGAUGGUGAUUAGCAAGAUUUGUACAGAAGCAUAUUUCAGUGGGCAUGAAUGUUACACAUGUGGGCAUAUUCGGCAUACACCUGUUGUGGAUCAGAUUAUUGCUCUUGUAACUUAUAUAAGGUGGAUUAGCCAACACUCUUGUAGUGUAGUGGUAAGCUCCCCAGUUCAAAUCCUGGUGGCAGCAAAAAAAACUCCCCAUGGUUCAAAUCCUGGUGGCAGCAAAAAAAACUCCUGCUGGCAAACCCAAAAAAUAGUGGCAAGGCGCCAGCCUAUGGCACCUAUGGUUGGUUUGGGCCCUCCUACCAGGGGGUAGUUGCAGUGGUCGCCAACCUAAUUGGUCGUGGUCAGCCCAGGUUACGGUGUGGCCCUAUAGGGUGAAGCCGGGGUUCGGGGGUUUUCUCGGCCGGAUUGGCUAAGAUCCGUGUUCCACCAGACGAAAUUCCGCGGCCGCCUAAGCGCGCUUAUGUGCCGCGCGGCGGGGUACCGCAGCGCCUAGGGGGUAGGUGGUCCCCUAGGCGGCCCGUGGUGGCGGCGGAGGCUAGGACGAUGGCGGCGAGGUCAGGGACGGGCAGCGGCAGAGGUAGGGACGGGCGGCGGCGGAGGAGGCAGGGACGGGCGGCGGCGGCAGCGGAGGAGGCAGGGGCGGCUGCCGGUGCGCGGAGGAGGAGGAGGAGGAGGCAAGGGACAGAGACCCGCAGCGGCGGUGGCUGGGAUGGCGGGGGCGAUGCAGGGACCGUGGUCUCGCGAGUGGCUAAGAGGAGAGGUUGAGAGGAUAAGGUGGGAGGAGGGAGGGAAUAGGGAAAAGGUGGGACUGUUGUGGAGGAAGGUGGUUGGUCUGGCGGGAUCGGCUUCGGCAGUGAGGACCUUGGGGGCCCUUUUUCGAAGUCAGGAGGACUCUGGUCGUGCUUGGUGUUCCUCAUGGGUCGGCAGUUCGUGGUUGUCGUUCUGGUGAUACUUGCCACCCUGGAACUAUACUUGCGUUGCCUCCUCCGUGUCGGCCUGAAGGUGGACGAGCUGCAUCAUCUGCCCAACCAUCUUAGGGGCAGCCUCAUAUAGCUUGCAGAACAUGUUACGGUUCAUCAGGCUAGAACGGAAGUACCAGAUGAUGUCGCGGUCCUCGACGCCGGCCAACCUGUUGCGGUUCUUGAAGAAGCGGUUCACGUACUCUCGGAGAGUUUCGUUCUUCCACUAGCAGACUUGCCCAAGAUUCUCCGUGUUUCCAGGUCAGCUGUAGGUAGCCUGGUAGUUCUGGGUAAAAGCCCUAGCGAGCUGACCCCAGGUGUCGAUGCUGCUUGGCGGGAGGUUCUCUAGCCACAGGAGAGGGGCGGGACCCAUCAUCACCGAGAAAUAGGCGGCCAUCUGGUCGUAGGUGUCGUUGGCGGCUUUCACCGUGGUGCUGUACGUUUUGAGCCAUAUAGUAGGCUCGGAGCGACCGUCGUACUUUUCGUUGAUAGCCAGCUUGAACGUGGCAGGCCACUCAACGGCCCUGAGGCGGGAAGUGAAAGUGACGAAACCAUCGAUCGUUGUGUCGUCGUCGUCCUCAAGGUUGUAUUCGACGGGUGGUGCCCUGGGGCAUCCACCAUUGUUGCGCCUGGGUGGGACGUAAGCGUCUUCAGGGGCGUCGUACAUGCGGUCGUAGUCGGCACAGCGAUGCAUCUCCUUUUCUUGGGGUCGACAGUCCUCUCGUUCUGUGCGGUUUAGCCUACCGUCGAGUCCAGGAGCACCGUAGUCGUAGUCGUACUCAGCGCGGCGGCGGAGCUCGGCUUCUUCCUGCUCUUGGUGGUGGUUGUUGAGGUCGGGCGUAGGUCGCGGCAGUCGCGUAGCUGUUCGCGGAGGUCAUGUUGCCGACCUUGUCUGCCACGGUUCUCGCCAUCGCUUCUCCUGCCACAGCAGCGGUUGUCAAGUUGACGGGUGUUGUUGGUGGGUGGGUUGGUGGGUUGCUCCACCUCCUCUUCACGGACGAGCUCCAACCAACCUCCAGCUCGGUUACCGUGGUCGCCUUGGUAGUGACCGAAUCUGCUAUGAGCGGAUCGGCUUCGAGAGUGCCGGUGGACCAGGAGUCUUGACCGGCUCUGGGCCCACUCUUUGACCUGGGUGUUGGCGACGCGGAUACGUGCCCGGAUCUGCCGAAGUGGCUCCGAGUCUAGAAAGUUUUCCAGAUCGGCGAAGGCAACUCCCAGGUUAGCCUGGGGUGUGGUGAAGACGUUGUGGCCGACCUCCUCGAGGCCGGCUUGUAGAUUGCGGGCGCGCAUAGGGCGCCUGCGUUUGCCCUGAGCACCAUCCUGAUCGGCAUUGUCACCAUCAUUGGCACGCGGUGGUUCGGCGUUGGCGGCGGGCGGUGGUCGGCGCUGAUCGCCUGCUGCCUCGGCUCCCAUGAUAGCAGCAGGUUGUUGAUGUUGCUGGGCGUCGGCUUGCUCCCGUUGGCGCCGUAUUGCACGGUCCUGGUUCUUGGCGUUGCGACCUUCUUCCUGAGAAGAGGUUUCGCCAUCCACGGGUGGAUCGUUAGCGGAGACCACAGAGGCUUCGCGAUCUGGCGUGGUGGAGUUGCUCUCGACGUCGUUUCCAUAAGGGUUCGGAGUCAGAACGAUGUAGGGGAUCUGAUACUAGCCACAGUCCGAAAACUGGGCGGGUCCAGUUGGAUCUUCAGAUUGGAUCUGAAGAGACUGCGCGAGUUUCACGAAAAACACGGCAACCGAGUUCCUCAGGCCAAAGGGGGCGCGGGAAGGACCCUGCGCCGACCUUGUUGGGCAUAGCGCCGUCUCGGAGAGGUUGAUGCACUCAGCAAUGGUGUUGCUGAUGUGAUCUUGCCCCGCAAUCAGGUCGGAGGGCGUGGGUGGGCGAGUUGCAGCAAGGAUGAUGGGAAUCCUCUCGGAGAGGGAGAGGUCGCCGAUCUGCUGGGCGAGCAACACGAAGGUCUUCAGGUGGAGGUCUUGCUCUGCUGGCGCAGGUCCAACGGACGCCGAGCCGUCGAAGGGAGCGGAUCGGGAUCUGCCGGCAUGGUCCCGAAGUGAAGCUGGAUCGGGUUGGCGAGGGUGUCCUUCAUGCUCUCGAGGAAGAUGACGCCGGGGUGAGAUGCCAUUGAGCUCACUAGGGAGGAUCUAACAAUCUCCCCUACCUGGCGCGCCAACUGUCAGAUCUAGUAACCGGCAGUCCACCGGGGGGUUACCCAAGUGGUAGAUUUGUAGGCAGGGAGGAUUGUGAGACCAAGAACUCGAAGGUAAUCACGAGAACACGAAGGUUUAGAUAGGUUUGGGCCUCCGGAGAGUAAUACCCUAUGUCCUGUGUUUUGCUAGAUUGUAUUGCUGGUAUGGUAUGCGGAGAGCUGAGAUGCCCUCGGGAGGCGCCCUUGGUCACCUUAUAUAGGCUGAUGACCUAAGGUUACAAGUCGGUUUGAAUCUAAUCUGGUCGGUUGUUACAUGGAAAGCAACCCAAGUCAGAUUACUACAAGUAUCCCACAAUAUUCGGGCCGUUUCGAAUUGCCCGGUCUCCCCGCACGUUCUGGUCGAGCGGGCCCACUUGCUAGGGCCGACCAGUAUCCUGGUCGGUGGGGACCCAUGGGGUACCCAUAUCCCUCACUCGGGUUGGGCUGUUUUGAUGGGCCUUCAGUUCGAUUUUAGGCCCACUAGUCUUCUAUUUUUCUUUUUUUUUAAGGAUAUGUAUAUAUAUGGCAAGGUAUAUGCGUAUGUACAACACCGCCUAGGAGACCGCCUUGAAACGCCUAGGCACGCCUAGGCUCUAGGCGGUGGGUCACCGCCUAGAGAGCGCCUAGCGCCUUUUGCAACCUUGGCUAAGAUUUCUUCUUAGUGCAAUGCCGCGGGGGCGGUCUUUCCCCCGCCGAUCGAGUUUUUUCUUAUAAGGUGGAUUAAUUAAUUUAUUUGAUAAUAAUAAAGUGCUUUGUGUAGAUCCACAUAAUACAAGAUAAAACUGUAAGCAAUGGAUGCCACAACAAGAGGAUACAAAACAAACUUGUUAAGCUUGAAAAUGAAAUGAUACUGGGUCUUAGCUAUAGAUACUAAUACAGAACAAGAGGAACAUAAGAUGGUAAGAUCUUAUUUUGAAUGUCACAAAAAAUGGUAAUGUUACUAUGUUAGAGAAGAGAUGCAUAUGUUUCCAGGGUGGUCCUGCAGGAUCUCUCACAAAGAAAUUCAAGUUUUCAUAACAAGAUGGGAAAGUAUCACACGAACUGAGUUAAUAGGCAACAUGUUACAGCACUCCGAAAACAGAUACGUGCAAAACACAAUGUGACUUUUUAGCAGUGUCUAGAGUCUAAGGCACUGGACCUGUCUUUUUUUUUCUCUAACACACAGUAUCAUUAUAUUAAGAAGGAAAAGAGUAACAAUAAUACAACCUCUAGUGGGGUAAAGAUAAUACAAGAUGACACUGGGCCUGUCUGGAUGUCAUUGUUUCAAAAAAAAAUCAUGUUAUCAAGAAACCGAAAUUUUAGAAACAAGAGGCGUGCAAAACCAUGGUUUAGGAAAAAAGAGGUUCCGAGUUUUACCAAUAUUUAUGGUGUUCAAAACUAUAAAAUUUCUUGUAUCCAAACACCUUGUAGGUUUCCAAAACCAAAGUAUUCUGUAAAACUGUAGUAUAUUUCUCUAAAACUCUGAAAAUCCUUUGUCUCCAACAGGACCAAGUGUCAGAUGCCUGUAAAAUUUGGAACCACAUCAAGUAAUGGGAAUAGCAGUACCUCAGGGUGUGUCUGGGGCGUUGGUUGGCCAACAUCGACUAUUCCUCCAGAAGUGUAUGCAGCUCGCUGUACCAAACCAUGAGAAGCAGAUAGGAAUCGAGAUGCUACCUGGGUGCAACAUUGCAAGACAGAGAUGGAUCAGUACACUGGUAAACAGCGGUAAAAGAGAAACACUGCUUUUUGUGAGGCACUGAGUCCACAUUUCGCAACAAUUUAGGAGAAAAGACAUAGGUCAGCCUGUGAAAAGAAUUUGCCCCUUCUCUCAUCAUGAAAGGGAAGCUUGGCCACUUCGACUAACCAACCAAUUACAAUAAAAUUACACUAUGCUCGUAUCGCUGCAGCGGCGCUCUGAUUCAGUUGGCAAUCAGGAAAUACAAACAUAGCCGUGAAAGAAAACAAGCUACAUGUUCCUAUGUCCAAAGAAAACGAGACACAUGCAAUCCACACAGUUCCGGCCCAAAUUAACCAAGAACGCCAUCUAAUCUUGAAAUGAGCUCUACUGGCACAUGGAGGAAUUUUUCCUCGACAACCAAUCCAACUAGGCCAUCCAAGACUAUCUCACCUACAGGCUAAUACGACAUGUGCCCUCCAUUCCAAGCCUGACCAAUGUUUCUACGAGCCAGAAUAAAAUUCAACAAAACUCCAGACUCCAAGAUGCUACCUGAAGCUACUCGCGCCCAAUCCAAUUCCCAGAGCCCAGAAAUACUUCAUACUUGAGCUUUUGUUCAUCGGAACCCGCAACAAGUCACACCCCAAGCAUCAGCAAUCCGGAGGAGCCACACGGAUUCGCCAAGAACACGGGCCCGGAGGAUCCGACGCCUAAGUUUGCAAAGCAGCGCGCGCAGAAUCCCACCCCCUCCUCUCCGAUUAAAAAAAAUGAAAAAACAGAGAAGGACGACAAGGGACGGAGGGUGGGGGCAAAUGGGAGAUGGGAGUGGGGGGGGGUGCUUCAGGCUUCAGCGAUCUGCUUACCUCGGUUGCUCGCAGCGUUCGCCGUAGCAGCCGCGCCGCCAUGGCCAUCGGCAGCAGCACAGCAGCCUCCCUAAAACCUUGCUCGAGUUCGCUUUCGCUUCUCCUUCUCUAUCAAGUUGUCACCAAUCUUAAAGCACGUCUAUUAGGCCAGGUCGCUAUGCGUGCUGAGCUCUCGAGUCCCGACUCCCGAGAGAUGGAUGGGAUGGUAGAAUUCCGAGCAGGCGGGGCCGCCGGCGUGGGGCGAGGCUGGCUGGCGGCGGCCGGCGCGGGAGCAGGGGCGGGGGCAAGCAGCGAGCGCGGAGGUGGAGCCGGCCGGCGAGCGCGGAGGCGGGCGCUGCGGGCGGCGGCGGCGAAAGUGACAGGAGUAGAGAGAGAUGGUAUGGGAAUGGGAGGAUUAAACAAACACUGACAUGCGGGCCCUACAUUAAUUUUGAAAAAUCGUGAUAUACUAGCAAAGACUGUUGCGCAGGAAAGCGCUAUGAUUUUGAUAAGAAGUUUUGGAAUUAAAAUUACAUAAUACUAAAAUAUGAUGUCAAGACAUUCUGAUGCCGAAGCGCCAGUAGUCCUCUCAGAAAGUAAGAAUCCCAACUUGUUUUGCACAAUCAGAUUCAAAACACAAAUUACCAGCAAACACGGUGGAUGCCAUUCAGAACGCAACUUUGCGUACACCAACAACUCACAACAUAAUACAAAUUACUUGAAACCAUGUCAUAGGAAACCGGAAAGAAAAUCCUUUAUCCGAUCGAUGUAGGGCGACCGGGUGGGGAUUAUGUGGCCCAUAUCAUGCUCAACAAUGGAGCAGCAAUCCUGCUGAAAUUGAUCAGCAAGUUCACAGCUCGCCCUGUUCGCUAUCUGCCGAUCAUGGCCUUCGCCAUUGCCAAAACAAUGCAGCGAGGGGAGCUUGAUUAGUUCGGCAUCAAAAUCACCCACUGGUGCUGGAUACCCAGAGCAGAACAUCCCAAACCUGAACUUCGGAGCACCGGAGGUCUCUUGCUGCUUCCUGCAGAACAAGGCAGCCAUGGCAGCGCCCUGAGAGAAGCCAAGGAUUCCGUCGAAGCACCCCAUCUGAGAGAUUGUGUUUUCUAGGUAGACGUAUGAUUCCUCAAAGCCUUCGGUUUGUUGCUGGUACUGAAGUGGGUCGAAUGGCGCAUCUGCAACCUUCCAGUCUUGCUCGGUGCUGCAGCUGGAGUUUGGAGCGAUGAGCCAUGCAAAUUUCCGUUUUGGUGUCUCAGGCGGAGGUGAGGGUUUGUCAGAGCAGUGGCUCUGGAUUGGUUGGUAUACAAAAGGAAGCUCAUGAGGAGCGUCUAUGAAGACAAGCUCAGCAAUGUGCUUCAGCUUCUUGGCAAGUGCUGACAUUCUUCCCUUAAAAUUGGAUGCGUUCUGCCGGAAACCAUGCAAGCAGAGGAUCCUCAGCUUUUUCAGCUGCUCGCUACCUGUAACAUUUCACCUAAGUUAGAGAAAGGUCAACCCUAAGAAAUACAAGUACUGAAGCUAAUUUACGCAACUGCAUGUUUAUACUAGUUCAGACUGAAUGCACUAGAGAACGUCAGAAUAAACAGAUGAUUCAGAGGAACAAAAAUGCAUAUGGACUAAAACUCUUCAGAAUUAGGGGCAUUGUGUAAUAAAGUUAACAUUGAUAUUACGGCUACCCAACCUACUACCAUUUAUCUAUAUUGUUCAAGCCUAGCCCAAUGCAUUUGUUCUGUACUUCUGUCCAUAGCAUAGGACCUAUGUGCAUAUUGAUAAGAACAUAAAUAUAUUAUCUAUCGUCCAGAAAGUGCAGUGGAAAACUGAUACAGACCUUACCAUUACACCAGGGGACUUUGGAGGUCAGAAUGUGAUUGCUUAUGGAUGGCUUUUCAAAACCAGAAGGUUCAGAUAGCCCUGUCUGUAUCUCACAGUCUUGCCUUGUUGAUAUUUGGCAGGGUUCCUUUCCAUUCUUUUGACACAGCUCGCAUACAUACUCCUUAGUGGAAUCCUAGAGAUUAAAAAAGAGAAGUUAGGCGAUUAUACAAUUGAGCAUAAAAUUAAUGUGACAAUCAGCAAACAUUCAUAAAAAAAAUGCAUUAAAAAAUAUUGCAUUUGACUCAACCUGACAUGUAGGGCACACUAAGACCAACAUUCUACAGUUGCUGCAACGACACCGGGAUGAAUAGUCAUCAUAGGAAGAACCACAUAUCAAACACGUUCCAAGUAUGUUCUCUUUCAGGCUUCCUACUGAGAUUCUGUAAAACGACAUUCCACAAGCUAGUGGUAAGGAAACUAAGGAAAUCCAGAAGGGCACAGUUUGGAGCUUUGUUGCAUUAGACAACUACCAACCUGUGGUCAAAUACAAAAUUCUUUCCUUCAAAAUAGCCACCGUCUGGAAAUUGCUCCAGAUACCGCUGGAUGCCACCAUAUAGCUAACAUAAACAUAAUAAUAAACAGUCAAGAACAAUACAAACUACUCAAGCACGCCCAAGAACUCAAGACUAAAGACAAACCAAACAAAGUCUAGCAUAUUACCUGAAAAACGUUCUCAAAUCCUUCACCUUUUGAGCGAAUAUAAGCUGAUGCCAUCUCACAUCGUAUACCUCCAGUGCAGUACCUGUAAAUACCAAUAAGAUAGUUAAGCUGCCUGCUUGGUGUGGCCAAAUGCAUCAGUCUAAUUCAAGGUUAAUUCAAAGAUCCAGCCAAACAUACAUCAGAAUUGACUUCCCACGCAACUUCUCAGUAUGCUCAUCUAUCCAUGAAGGCAGGUCACUGUAUUGCCUGAUUUCUGGAUCUAAAGUCUCCACAUUUGGUACAUUGAACUUGCCGAUCCGCGUCUCAUACACAUUCCUCGCGUCCACGACAACCACUUCAUUCUUCUCUGCAGAUGCCACUGCAUCCGAACUAGUCCCAGCUAAAAGAACAAUCCCAACUUAGCAAUUACAAUCCAUUCUUAAACCAGGAAUUGGCAACCCAAACUGAAAUGGACAAGUCUCAAUCUGAGAAUCCACUCACCAACAUUUUGGAGCACUGAAUGGAACUCAGCGGCUGACAAGUGUUUCCCUGCACCCAAAAUCUCCGGGGGUGCCGAGGUGGGAUUGGAGCACAGGGUAACCAGCUCCUGCCAACCAAUGCAGCAACAACAGUUCAAAAGUGACGAAUGGCUCUACAAAAUAGUAAAAGGUGAAACCAUUCUGCUGGAAGGAGAGACAAGAACCUUGACAACCCUGACGGAGAGAGAGGUGAAGCCGCAUUCCCUGGCGACCCUCUCGUCAACGGGGUCCUCGCAGGACGCCAGCUUGAAGUCGGUGCCGUCGAACAAGGCUUUGGAGCUCAUCUCGGCGAUGUGCUUCUCUAGCGCCGUCAUUCGCCCUCCGAGCUAGCAAUACCAAAAUGCGAAAGCCGGUGAGGUCACCAUGAAUGAAUUCAUGAACGCUACAAAAUCCAAAAAGCUCGAAAUCUCUGCCCCAAAGGCCGCCUACGAUGGAGAGAAGAGAGAGAAGCGGGGGGAUGUUGUCACCGUGGCGUUGACGCCGUCGGGGCCGACGCGGACGCGGCCGACGAGCGAGAGGCUGCGGCAGUGCGUUUCGUAGAACGCGGCGAGCGCGGCGGCGUCGGGCACCUCGGCGUACUUGUAGUAGAGAAGCACGCCGUAGCGGUCUCCGCCGCCAUCUCCUGUAUGCUGCUCCUGCUGCCGCGUCGCGUCCAUAGCCGAAAACCCUAGCGGCGGCGACGGCGGCGGCGGAGCGAAGAGGACGAAACGGAGACGACGACGUGGUGGUGGUGUGAAUGGACUGGUAGGGCCUCCAGCUGUCUUAAAACGGUAUGGGCCGGCCCAGUAUGCAUAUGUGAACCGCGCAAUAGGCCCAAAUGCCAGCCUGUCUACCGGAGGGCCCAAACAUUAGCUCGGCCCACGAAGCACCUUAUCCUUCCCCUCCUCGCCCCAUUUCGCUCCGCGUCCCCACCCCCAAAACCCCCGGCAAGAACCUUGCUCGGCGACAUCUCCGGCCACCUACCCAUGGAGGCCACCGCCGCGCCGCGGGCGCUCUCCCUCCUUGCGCCGUCUCCGCCGCUGACGCUGCGGAUGAACUGUUGGCGCGUCGCCGUUGGAAGUGUGAGGCGGCGGGGGGCCGUGGCAGUCAGGGCGAAGAAGAAGAGGGGGAGGGGUGGGGAUGGGGAGGCGGAGGAGCGGGUGGACACGCACAGCUUCGCGCCCAAGGCCGGCGAGGCCUCCGGGCUGUUUCCCGAGGCCGUCCUGCUUAGAAAGGUUCGAUUUUUUUUCACGCCCUGCUUCUAGUAUUUUGAUACACGGGGCGACGAGGAGGAACAUGGUCUGGUUCCUUUCGGGUUUCUGAUUCUAAAUACUUAGAUGAAUUCCGUGAUUUUGUUUAUUUACGGUUAAUCGGGCAAAUAAUUGGAGUGAAGAGGCGCUAGUGAUUCGCAUUUUAGUGAUUGAGUCUAGUCUUCUAUGCUUGCGUUUGUGUGAGGCUCUAGUAUCAAAGACACAGCCAUUUGCCUAUGUACCUCCUUCGUCCCAAAUUACUAUUCGUUUUGGCUUUUCUAAAUACAUAUUGCUAUGUAUCUAGAUAUAGUAUAUAUCUAGAUGAAAAAGCCAAAACGAAUAGUAAUUUGGGACCAAGAGAGUAGCUGACAUCGUGGAAGUAACUGCUAGCAGUAGAACUUAAGCAGAUAAGUGUAAACUAUAGUGUGCAAGACAGAUCCACUUGCCUAUAUAACUGAAAUUAGUGGAAAGAACUGCUGGCAGUAGAACUUAUGCGGAUAAGUGUAAACUACUAGAGGAAAUACAAAAAUAUAAUGAUGCAGUUUUCACGAGGUCUUUGCUACCAAAAGAGCUUGGGCUAACAGGUAAAAACUUUUGGAUGCCAUUUGUGGAAGAAACAGGAGAUACUCUUAAUAUUUGGAUGGGGGAAUGCUUGAAGCUAUAUGGAAGGCUUUAUAGCUAUGUGUUAAUUAUUUGUUUUUGUUGUUUUGUUUUGCAGAAAAUGGCGAGAGAGGAUGGUCAAGUGGCGCCAGAAUUUGCUGAUGCAGAAGAAGGUGAUAUUGGAUUUUUAUGCCAUAAAGUUUCUUUUUCUAUUAGAUGUUCAUUUUGGUAUCCUAAAAUUCACUUUUGUAGUUUAUGUAAUAUUUGAUCAUUCUAAUCCAAUUUCUUUUUUGCAGAAAAGCUAUAUGAAUUUCUUAACAUUCAGCUUGAGAGUGAUUUAAAUCUAAAAAGAAGUAAGAGAUCUUUCCAUUUCUCUUUUUUCCAGCCAUUUUUUACAGUUUGCGUGUGCUGGCAUUACGUGCUGGUCAUUUGCAUGUGGAUAUCUGAGUUCAACUUAAACUUCUUCCUUUCACAGUGCGGCACUACGAAGUAGUUUAUCUAAUUCAUGAGGAUCGUGUUGAAGAAGUUGAAGAUGUUGUAUCAAAAGUACAAGGUGCACCUCUUAGCACUCGUACAUCACUUGUGCAUCUGUAAAUCUUUUUGUAAGCAUGUUGGAGCCCUUCUUCUCUCUGAUUAUACUUAGGCCCUGUUUGGAUACUAGGGGCUAAAUUUUAGCCUCUGUCACAUCGGAUGUUUGGAUACUAAUUAAGAGUAUUAAAUAUAAGCUAAUUACAAAACUAAUUGCACAGAUGGAGGCUAAUUCGCGAGACGAAUCUAUUAAGCCUAAUUAGUCCAUGAUUUGAUAAUGUGGUGCAACAGUAACCAUUUGCUAAUGAUGGAUUAAUUAGGCUUAAUAGAUUCGUCUCACGAAUUAGCCCAGGGCUUCUGCAAUUAGUUUUAUAAUUAGCUCAUGUUUAGUUCUUCUAAUUAGCAUCCGAAUAUUCGAUGUGACAAGAGCUAAACUUUAGCCCGAGGAUCCAAACACGCACCUAAGAAUUAAUGUUAAUCGCCUAAAGGCAAACAAAAGUAUUUAUACAUGUUUCUAGCUGUAAGAGUUUGACGCCCUCUUGGGCAGCUCCCUGCGAAACUUGCUACGGUCUUUCUGAUUUGCUUUGGUGCCUUCGUUUUUUUUCCCCCCAUCUCUACAUGCAAUCUCAAGGGUGGGCAGGAAAUCGUUGUUUCUCUAUUCCUCGUUAUUGUUUUUGGGUAUAUUCUUUCUGUUACAUUUGUUUCAAUCAGCCAAUGUGCCUAAACCUAUGUUUCUUAUGUUUUCUAGAGUAGUCCAAUAGUUGAUCGAUAUUACUACUGAAGAGUGGGCGUAUAACUAUUCUCUCUGCUCUCUUGUAGAUUUUGUCAGGGCGAAGAAAGGAAGGAUAUGGAGGCUUAACGAUUGGGGAUUGCGCAGGCUUGCUUAUAAAAUAAAGAAAGCAACACAUGCCAACUACAUCUUAAUGAACUUUGAGAUAGAGUCAAGAUACAUCAAUGACUUCAAGACCCUUCUAGACAAGGAUGAAAGGAUCAUUAGGCACCUUGUUAUGAAACGGGAUGAGGCGAUUACUGAAGACUGCCCUCCCCCACCAGAGUUCCACACUCUUCGGGCUCAGCAGUAUUUUGAUGAUGAAUUUGAAGAUGAGGAGGGUUGGGAUGCCAGGAGUGAGCUAGAGUCUGCCGAUUAUGGUGAGGAUAAUGCUGAAACUGGCGAUGAACCUGAAAUUAUUUAUGUUGAUGAAGCUGACCAGGAUAAUUACGAAGACACUAGAAGAAGGAACAGAAAGCUGAAGGUGAAGAAGUAUACCGCAGAGAAGGUAUUGAGGUAGCAUUAGUGUAUGGCUUUCAAUUAGCUUAAGUCUAUUUUAGUUCUUAUACAAUGGACCACCUGAGUCUCUGUAUGAUGAGAAAACUUCACAUAGUGCCUUACCUGGUGCCAAGGACCAGUACUAUGAUAAUGAGAUAGGUAUAUGUGUUAUGGCCAGUACAGCACUUGUAGAUGCCUCCUUUAGCGCACCUUUGUUUUUUGUGAGUAUCACUUUAAUACGCGAAGAAAACCAAAAGCUUAAUAAUGUAUUAUGAGUUCAAAAUACAGCCCCAUUAUGAGUACACACUGAGACCCUAACAGCUGCUUGCUUCAACCCUCCCAGAGGGAGUUGCGCAAAUCUUGUAGCAUUCCAAGGGGUAACUAGUCGGAAGCAACCCUUUGGUUUGUGCUUUAAGUUUGUGCAUCUCUCAAGUAGUGUGGAGUAUAGAAGCUCCUCCAAUUUGAUUAUCUGCAGAGUGUUUGGUAGGCGUCUCCUUUUUAUCUCGUGGUAAAAUUCCUGCAGGUCAUCACUUGCAAGUUUUGUAUUGACUGGGUAAUAGUCCGUAGUUGCGUUGCUACGGGCAGAUGAAAUAUAAAAAAAUAAUUAUUAUUUUAAAAAUAUUUUUUACGAAUCACACAGUACAAGAUGCAGAUGCUCAUAUACAUGUACGCACACCUGCUCCUACGAAUGCACGCAUGCAACCCUACCCUUGUGAACACCUGCUCCUACGAAUGCACGCAUGCAACCCUACCCUUGUGAGCACCUUCGAAAGACUAAGCCGGCAAAUCCUCGAAAUCGACAAAAUCACCACUAAAGUCUUGUUGUCGACAGCCAUGUCGACUACCACUAGAAGAAUAGCGUCAAUUAAUUCUGGUGGGCUGGUUCCAAUAUGGUAAUACGGUGGUUCUAAAAAUAUCUUGAAGAUAGUGAUUAGUCCAACUCAAUUUCUUCUUCUCGAGAGAUACUAAUAUGGUGGUUCCCAUUUUCUUCUUCUCGAAAGAUACUAAUAUGGUGGUUCCCAUUGCUUUCUUACGAGGAAAGAUAAUUGAAUUUGGCGUAGUUGAGAAUAAACAAAAUACACACGAAAGUGUCGAUUCUACUAUACUUUAAAUAAUUAAUUCCUAAAUAAACAGGAACACCCGGGUCACCUUUGUAUUCAGCACAUUGAAAGACUCCAUAUAGGAAAAUCCCCUAUUAACAUUCAUACAGGAAAACCAAUACAACUCGAAAAAGGCAUGUUAGUAGAUCAAAACUAAACCUGUUAAUUGCAGUAGCCAUUUCAACACUUUAACAACAGCAAUUAACCAGAUGCAACGAAGAAAGAUAGGAUCAGCUCAUUAAAAGACCCCAUUGAUGAUGAUCAUUUUCAAUCAGAUUACAGGUGAAGUAAUGGGUCUGCCAUGGUUUCUGAGCGGUCGCCUCACCUUCCCUUGCUGGCGCUGGCAACGAGGUCUUGCCAGGCCGGGCGAGUCGAUUUGCCUCUCCUGCGCGAGCAAGCUAGUAAUUGCUUGCACAAACAUCGAAAAAAUCUCGUUGCACUUCAGCAAGGGAUCCAAGCGCACCCAAUAUCUCUUACCAUUCACCCAUUGUAUAAUAAUAAUUAUUAUUAUUCUAACAAAGAGAGGAAUUUUAACAACCUGCUAAGCAAAACAAAACUAUGAUUGCACAAAAAAGGGAAAUACUCGUAAAGAAAUGGGUCAAUAAUAUGAAGUGCUAAAAAGGCACUUGAGGCAGAACCACUGAAAGAAAAUGUGGGGAACAUUGAAGUAAAAAGAAUAGCUUCGUUAUCCCAGCCUUGGAAUUCCAAAAACUAUACAUGUUCAGAUUUCUGAGAACCAAUUAGUUAGGUGGGUGUGCAUUGCUUUCACAUAAAAGGAAAAAUGUAAAUUUGACCAAAGUAAUCUCAUUUUGGUAGCGUCCAUGUAUCACUUUGAGCAAAAGGUAGGUUCAGCAAUCAAAUCUAACAGCCUAAGUAAUCCUACAUCUUAGUUGUGCCAACUAUGUUCCACAGGGCCUAAGACCAUAUAACCCUUUACUCUUGAAGAAAGGUUGAAAGCAAAGACUAAUUCGAACCAACUUAAAUGGAUAGUCUGACAGAACCCCCAAUGUAUAUGCAAGGGAACAUACAUGUCACAAAUAACCACUCCCCUUCUAGCCCAAUCAGUAAACUAAACCUUGACUUGGUAGAGUUUCGGCAAAACGCUAAGGGUCUCUCCUCCCUUGUACAUGCACCGGCCAUGUAACACCCAAGUCUUAAAAAAAAUAAAAGAAGGUCAUUAAGAAGGUUAAUGUGAAAUUUGGGCUUAAAAAGAUAUCAACUGAGCCAUGGUCAAAUUUAGUAAAAAAUUCAAAUAAAAGAUUCAAAUUUGGAAAAAAAAUGGAGAAAGAGGUUUGAAGGUGUUUGACAUGGUGGAAUUAAAUUUGGGUCAAGAUCUGGACCAAAAGAUCUUCGAAUCAAUGGUCAAAGGUAGAGACAUAGGGUCAACACUAUAAAUCCCUGAAAAAAUUAAGUCUGAAUACAGUAAUAAAUGGCCAACUUUGGGUCAAAGAUUUUGAGGAAUUUUGCAUAAAAAUUUUGAACAAGUUUAAUCAAAAUGGUACGUGUGAUAUAUGGUUAACAGCUCCCAGCAGUUCUUGAGCAUAGAAAAAUGAGUUUGAAUAUUUAAAUUGGAGGUCAAAGAUCGAACUUUACACUGUCUCGCAUUGCCUGGUUAACUAACGGAAUAGUUCUGAAGGUUCAGAAUGAACUGGUGUUUUGCCCCAAAGUUCAGAGGUUCUUAUCUCCAAACCCAUGGAUCUUCUGAAUAAAAGACCUAUCUAUCAUCUAUACCCCUAUACGUCAGCUACAAAAGUUGGAAAAUGUGUGCAGCAAGUUGGUAUUCAGUUUGCUCUUGUAUCUACUGCUCUAUCAAUGAAAUAGGCACAAUCUCGUGCUCGUUCGUUCAAAAAAAAAAGUUGCUAUUCAGUUUUGGAAGAAUUUCAGUGAGCAAAUGUGCAGGUUUAUAGCAUGGACACGUACUGCAUCUCGUGGGGAAGAGCUGAGCCGUGAUCUGCAAGCCUGCUUUGCCGCCUCUCUUGCUUACUGCCGACGCCACUUGCACCAGCGAUUUCAGCCGCGAUGACACGCACCUGCUUGCAAGCUAGGGCGGACAUCCCCUCAGGCGGAAGCUUGUAAGUUCUAGUUACUAAGAUAACAUAAUUGAAUUGCCGACUUGAUUGAGGUCAUGUGAUGACAAGUUGGGAAUGCAAAUGAUGAUUGGGAGGGGACCUUAUGCAAACUUCAUUAAUGAUCAAACUUAAGGAAUGUUGGACAGUUGGGUAUUAAUUAGCUCGCAGGUUCUAUACAUGUUGAGAUUUAUCAAAUGGUCAAUUACUUGCAUUAACUUAGGGAAUCUUGCUCAUAUCUCAGCUAAUUUGUAGCAUUUCACCUGAAAUGUUGGGAUAAUCAUGGAUUUGCUAUUUUUGAAGAAAUCAUCUUGAUUGAUCAGCCUAUUGUCACCAUAAUAUAAUCACACGAGCGAGCAGCUAUUUUGACGGUAAGGACCACCGGCUGUUUCAUGACUUAUUGUUCAUCAGGCUAAAAAUCUCUCAAUCAGUGUACUGCUGUACAUGGUACAUACCCCUGUGUGCUCAAUCAAGCAGUAUGCCUAUCAUCUGGAAACAUUUAUCGGCCGCCGUUGCUGCCUCCCUUCUACUCUGUGAUAAUGAUCUAGACGUUUCAUAGUGAGUUUUCAAGAGCUGCAUAUAUGUUGGCUUCAUCGCACAUGUACAGUGUGUUAGUUUGUUGUUUUUGGUGUGCCCUGCGCUGUGUGUAGGCUUAAGUGAACAGUGUAGCUACGGCUUCAAAGGUCUCAAUCAUCUCUUGUGCAUAAAUGCCUGUACUGGCUAAUGAAUGGUUGCCUAGCAAACUUUGUGAUAGUCAGUUCAUCUGCAACUCAAUGGUUGCCAUCCCUUGAGGAAGGCAGUUGAAAUAUCAUUUUGUAAUUUGUUCUUCAAUUCGGUUCAAGCCAUUCGUAUGUGCAGUCUGAAAUUUCAGUUUGUUGCCUAACAAACUGAAUGCCAAACAAAGAACAAAAUAAAGUUUAAACCCUCCGCCUUGCAAAUUGGAGACAUUUCAUCAAGAACCGCCUGCGCCAAUGUGUUCGGUUCUGACACAUCAUGCAUAUCAUCAUUCCAUUCUACUUCGUACAGACAAUUCAAUUGGGUUGCUUUUUCCCGUUUGUCCUAUGAACUGAAGGUACUACGCGAUGUGCUUAAAUUCUUGUACGGAUUAGUGGCUGUCAAGCAGGCUGGCGCACUGCAUAACUGUUUCUGAUGAACUAGAAACUGACUGAUGGUUGCCGUUUUUUUUUUCCAAGAGGGUGUACGUGUUUCAGUUCACUGACGAAACUGAUGACCAUAUGAGGGUUGGUUCUGCUGGUUCCUCAAUUAGGGCAUGGCCGCAUGAAUUUGUUCGAAUCCUGAAUAACAGCUCGCCCUUUGCUUGUUAUUCCGUUGAUGGAAAAGACAUGCGAAGUGACCCAAAACGCAGCACUCCAGAUUUGCUUGUGGCUUUUGCGGCAGCGAACGCAUACAUUUUUAGAAAAAAUUUAAUUACUAGUCAUUGCAGUACGCUAAAGCGUUUGUAGUCCAACGGUUAGGAUAAUUGCCUUCCAAGCAAUAGACCCGGGUUCGACUCCCGGCAAACGCAUUUAUUUUUAAGAUUUUUCUUUUUUCCCCUCUCUUUCUGGAACAUCUGUUUGUCGGUCACUCAUUGCAGUUCCAUGGCGCUGUGUAUUUUUAUUUGUGCAUACGUCAUCGUUUUAUGUACAAAAAGUAUCAAUUUAAGAUAUUAAUCAGAGAUCUAUUUGGCAUUAUGGUUAUGAACUUAAGAUUAUUGUAGAGUAUAUUUGAUUACGAAUCCAACCAUAUAAAGUUUAUAUUAUAAAAAUAAAAAAUUGACUUAAAUUGUUGGUCAAAGAUUGUAAUUUUUUAAAAUUUGACAUAUGUGUGCGCCUUAUAAAUAAAAAUUGAGGGAGUAAUAGCAUACAAACCACGACCGCACGAGAUCAAUAAAAGCAUGAAUAUGAAACAAAUUGCUGUCCGUGGGUUUCAUUCAAGUUUCAAAGCCCUUGGUAAGCUAUGCACAGCAGUUUUAUCUAGAUGAAAAUGAAAUCAACUCCUCUCUCUCUCAAAUUUCAUUUCAUGUUACUAUUUUUUUUUGCCUACAUGGCAUAUCAAUAUGUGUCAUUCAAUGUGAUUGAAACUCACCUGGUGCCCAUGUGUUCUAUCUAAAUGCACGAAUCUCAUAGCAAAGUGAGUGCAAUAAAUAUAUCCACCCAUAAAAAAAAUGCAAUUUUAGAAUUUUUCACACAGAUUAUUGUAGAAUCCAAAUAACUUAGGUGCCCCUAAUUAUAUGUUAUCUUGUUACCAUGAGAACACGAUUAAAGUGCUUGGUUCUCAUCUUCUCUCUCCAAUUAAUAGCGCAUACACUUUCUUAAAAAAACCAACACCUAGACUUAUAAAUAAGCAACUAUAAAUAAGCAAAUAAGCAACUUAUAAAUAAGCAUCCAUAACCAAACAGGCCCUGCAGGGCGGCGGAGGACAAGUGGACAGGUAUGGGACAGCAGAUUUUUGUGGGAAGGUUUGAGAAGCUAUUGGAGGUAAGUUUUUUUUUCUCUGAAUAAGGUUUUGGGGUAAUUUUAAGGGAUCUUUUGGAAUUGCUCUUACAUGGAGAUUAGCCCACCAAGCUAUUCUAAAAGCUACAAUUGCAUUUUUUGACAAAUUUUGAAUGUAUAAUUGCACUUUGUGCGUGACCAAAUUGAUGCAAAGUGGACAAACACACGCUCUGAACAUAAUGGAUCACUGCUGCCGUAUACACAUGGUAAAACCUACUCCAAGCCGCUUAAUUAGGCAUCUAAACUAAUUAAUUAGGCACGCAUGUUCCCUGCUUAAUGAGGCAGGCACAUUUCAAUUCCUUAUACAUGUGUGUGUCUAUAUAUACAUACACAUUUCAAUUCCUUAUACGUGUGUGUGUGUGUGCAAGAAGAGUAUAUAUAGCAAUUAUCAGUGGUGCCAUGCGAUGCAACACCAGCUGCCUCAUAGCAGCAGAAGCACACGUAGCCCCUCCAUGGCGAAGAAGAUGUUGCCAGCGGCGGCUUACGAGCUCUUCUCCUCCCUCCUCCACACCGUCACGGUCACUGCCCGGCCACCGCCGCCCACGCGCAGCUCGCCCACCGUCCACCGAUGCGCCCCUCCCGCGGCGCGGCUCGCCGGCGAGGGGACCACGCUGGUCGUCGACGUCGACGGCGCCCUUCUCCUGCCGCGCCACACCCUUCUCUUCGCCUACUUCAUGCUCGUCGCCAUCGAGGCCGGCAGCUUCCUCCGCGGCCUCGUCCUGCUCCUCCUCUACCCCGUCAUCUCCUGCCUCGGCGCCCUCGCCGGCCGCGACGCGGCCGUGCGGGCCAUGGCCGCGGUCGCCUUCUGCGGGCUGCGCGAGGGCACGUUCCGCGCCGGCCGCGCCGUGCUGCCGCGGUGGCUCCUGGAGGACGUUCAGGCAGAGGCGCUGAAGGUUACGCGGCGGGCCGGCGACCCGGCGCGGGUGGUGUGGGCGAGCGCCAUGCCGAGGGUGAUGGUGGAGCCGUUCCUGAGGGAGUACCUCCAGGUGUCGCCGGCGGCGGCCGUCGCGGUGAGGGAGAUGAAGACGGUGUGGGGGUUCUACACCGGCCUCAUGGAGUACGACUGCGACGUAAGAGAGGACAUGUCGGUGCUGAGGCAGAAGACGGCGGCCGGAGGCGACGAUGACGACGUCGUGGGGUUCUCCGCUGGCGAUUCCAUGGAGUUCCUCUGCAGCCCUCUGUCAUCAAUUUGCAAGGUAUGCUUUUUUUUUCUUGAGAUGAUCUGAUUGAUCUCAUGCAUGACAGCGAUGUCCUAGUAGUCCUCCAUGAGCAACAUCACCAUGGUGGCACCAUGAGUUCAUGACACGAUCUCUAUCGAUGCAGGAGCUGUACGUCGUGCACACGGAGGAGCAGAGCAAAUGGCGGCGCCUGGCCCGGCGCGACUACCCGAGGCCGCUCGUCUUCCACGACGGCAGGCUGGCGUUCCUGCCGACGCCGCUCGGCGCCGUGGCCAUGUUCACGUGGCUCCCCCUGGGCGCGGCGCUCUCCGUCGUCCGCCUCGCCGUCGCGAUGGCGCUGCCGUACCGGUACGCCACGGCGAUCCUCGCCGCGACGGGCCAGUCGUGGCGCCUCCGCGGCGCGCCCCCGCCGGCAAACAUCCGCCGCGGCGGCGCCGCAUCCUCCGGCGAGCUCUACGCGUGCAACCACCGCACCCUCAUCGAUCCCGUCUACGUGUCCAUCGCGCUCGACCGGCGUGUCCGCGCCGUGUCCUACAGCCUGAGCCGCGUCUCCGACGCGCUCUCCCCGAUCGGCCCCACCGUCCACCUCGUCCGCGACCGCUCCCGCGACGGCGCCGCCAUGGCGCGGCUCCUGGGCGCCGGCGACAGCGUGGUGGUCUGCCCCGAGGGCACCACCUGCCGGGAGCCCUACCUGCUCCGGUUCAGCCCGCUGUUCGCCGAGCUCGGCGGCGACCGCGGCGUCGUGCCCGUGGCGCUCGCCGUCGAGAGCAGCAUGUUCCACGGCACGACGGCGAGCGGGUGGAAGGGCGUCGACCCCUUCUACUACCUGGCCAACCCCAGGAUGUGCUACACGGUGGAGUUCCUCGACAGGGUGGACACGGCGGCGGUGGCGGAGGGGAAGGCGGCCAGCACCGACGUGGCCAACGCCGUGCAGCGGCGCAUCGCGGCGGCGCUCGGGUACGAGUGCACCAUGCUCACGAGGAAGGACAAGUACCUCAUGCUCGUCGGCAACGACGGCGUCGUCGCGGCGCCGCCACGGCGGACGCGCGCCGACGAUAUGCGUGUGCCCGUUCGUGCUCCCACUGGCUGCACAUAACCGUGUCCGAUUAAUGAAAAUCGUGCCACACUACACGUACAGUACUCAAAAGAGAAAAAAAUUCAGGGGAAAAUAGAAAAAAUAGGGACUAUAUUAUUCCUUUUAAGAACGGUUUUUGUAUUUUGAAAGAUGCUUGAUGCCUUGACGUCUCUUUUUUCCCCAUUUUUUGUGAAUAUACGAUGUAAUGUAGAGGUUGGUGUGUAUAAAAUUAAGGGAAUGUACUUAAGAAAUGAGAGAAUAUUAUGUCAUCUUCACUAGAAGAGUAUGGGUGAUCUGUUUGGUACUUCCACGUAACCAAGUUUUCAUUAUGGAUUUCGAGUCCAUGUCAUGAAUCCAACAUGAUGUGCAGGAAAUCGAGACGUUCAAUGAUGUGAGCACUCUCGUUCUAAAGAGGUGUCUUGACACUAAUUACUCCUUACAUGUAACCACAAUGAGUCACAUAAGCAUGGGCACGGCUCUUGUUUACUAUGUACUCCCUCUGCCCUAAAUUGUACUCCCUCCGUUCCAAAUUGUAGGUCGUCUUGACUUUUGUAGAUUCAUAGAUAUUAUUAUGCACCUAGACAUACACUAUAUCUAGAUGCAUAAUAAUAAUUAGUGUAUGUCUAGAUGCAUAAUAAUAUCUAUCUAUGAACCUAAAAAACCUAAAACGACCUACAAUUUGGAACGGAGGAAGUAGGCUGUUUUGGUAUUUCUAGGUUCAUAAAUAUUAUUAUGCACCUAGACAUACACUAUAUCUAGAUACAUAAUAAUAUCUACGAACUUAAAAAAAUUAAAACGACCUACAAUUUGGAACGGAGGGAGUAGGCUGUUUUGGUAUUUCUAAUUUCAUAACUUUUGCCGUCUAACAAUAAGGUUAACAACAAAAUAUUUGAUAACAAACUUGUACUGCAACAUGUACGGAUGUGCCGAUGAUAACAUGAAUGAUCUGAAGCACCUGAUAUUUUUUUGGUAGGAGAGAAUAUUAAUUGUUGGAGAAUCUAUCGUUUGGUUCCUUUUGCAUCUUGUCUUUCCAAGAUACUAAAUUGUGUUUUGCCAGAUUCAGAUAGCAUUGCAGUGACCUCAUCUGAAGGCUGUCUGUUUUACUUCUAAUUCUGAAUUGCUUUCUCAGGUUGGCCACUAACCGUCUGCACCCCCUAAGAGUCUUCCACUUGUUUGAAACGAGACAACCGGUGGAACAAGCUGGACACAACAUCGAAAUGAAACUGAAACACUUCUAUUUCUGAUGAAAUAUUGGACUGUGAUAUUUCAGGACAAGUGAUGAUGCAAAAACUAGAAGAAACUAAAUGGCGAUUGCAUGGGAACAGCCUUUUUAGGUAACAAUUUCCAGGAAUAUUGCGGCAAGGAAAACUCUGACCCGAUAAGCGCCUUUCGUUGCCGAAAAAUGUCUUGAAAUGGCUCCCUAAAUCGUGAUAAUUCCGCCGGCACUGGUUAUCCACUGUAGCUCAACACAUUUUCUUCUCGGAACCUCGUGCAUUAUGCUGCAUCCUCAGUUCCUCACAUUUCAGGUACAUAAGUCUUCAAGUUUCGCUAGCAUGGCUGAUAGUUUUGGAAUUAUGUUAGCAUGGGCACUAAUAAAUGAGUUAGAUUCUUUUCUUCCAAGGUUACAUCUGCCAUCCAAGGAUUUUGGCGGCAAAUGCGCGCCAAGCCGACAUUUCUGUAGCUCAUAAAGAACCACUGUUGGAGUGAAGGACAGUUUGCAGCGCUCGCAAGAAAUCGAUCAGAUCAAACCCCCAUUGGUCCAUUGCUACAGGAAUGGAUGCAAUGAAGGAUGUGGUGUUUGAACCACCAUUGAUCAUCAAGCUGCCAAGAAGGCAAGAUUUUGGACCAGGAAUGAAGGAUGUGGUGAUGUAGAUAGACAGCAUGUAUUAUUGUACUCACGCUCUGCUGUUUCUUCUAUGUAACAGCAACUACGGGGCCUAGUUCGGCAGUUGGGACUUCCUCAGAAGAUAUGUUUGCAUUUGGAAAAGCGAUGGAUUAACAAUACAACAGGGAAAUGAGUAAGCAAAAAGAAUGUAUCGCGUUUAGACAUUCAUACGGUCUCCAAUCAUGAAUGGAGAGGUAGAUGUCAUGAAUGCCGAAGAAUUUUGGAACCGCGGUGAAGUUCUUUCCUGAUUGAGAAUAAAUUCCGUACUAAAAAAUCAAACAGUGUAUUGAUUUCUGAAACUACAUUAACUCGGACGUUAGGAAAAAAAAUCAAACAACAUCCAUUUAAUUGAAGGCGACGGUUAGCAGGUAUGUAACCACAAGUUCAUGCAUCUUGUGAACAAGAAUGCGAGAUCCCUGAUCAAAGUACAUUUGACCUACCAAUAAUCCUGAUUAUUCAUGACCACACGACACGACACAGGUGGAAAGCUGAGCAACUUAGAUCAAGUCAGACCGAAGCCCUAACCAGCAGCAACAUACUGACCAAGCUCAAGAGCUUACUAACUGCAUACAUCUGUGUGCUGUAGAGACUACUCGAGCAUUUAUAAGGUUAGCUCCGGUCAAAUUCAGCUCUGCCAGUUUGCCGGUCAAUGCAUAAAACUGCAUUUUGUUUGCCGACUUCAGUUUGUGAUCCAUGUGAACAAAAAAGUGACCGAAUUCAGCGGUUUAAACAGAAGCCAGAGAUGACUAGAUGAGUCACAGUCAGGCAGUUGUUAGUCAUCCCUGACUGGAAAGGAUCAUCAAGCUUUAAUUUGGCAAAUGUAUCGUCAACUCCUUAUUCCUGAACACGAAUUGGCUUGACGAGUGCGUGAUGGUUCAGCGACAGCAUCGGCCAGCGAGCGGUGGAGAAUGCCAGAUGAGCUACAGUAAUCGGCGACAAUAGCUCAAUGAACUGAACUCCGAUGGAUCGGUUAGAGUGUUGAACUCCGGGAAUCAUUGGAACUAAUUGGAAGUCCCGUCCCGACAUGGGUUCUUAGAACAAAUUUAACCUCGUGAUUUUUGUGCAGCUGAAAGCUUACUGCAACCUAUUACAUUACAUGACCAGUGGCAGCUAAAAACUAGGCACUAUCAACAACCUGAUGCAUGCCGACUCCUGAAGAAAAGGAAAAGACGGGACUGGAUCAAAAUUACAGACUGACGAGAUUGAAACUGAAAACAACUAUCACCUGUGACUCUGACGAAACUGAAAGCAAAAUGUUUCUUCUGACAGAGAAAGAUGCAGAUAGUAGAGGCUGGUCGGUGAAAUAGUUAUAGGGUCAGCUUUGGUCAAAUUCAAAUCUGUUGGGUAAUCUGGUCAACUCUUAGCACCUUGAAGCAAACUAAAGCAAGUGAUCUGCUUGCAUGUUAUUGGAACUUGGAAGGCUGUUGCUCGAUUCAGACUGACUUGAGGUUCUAUGAGAUAAUGAAGCUUUCAACUCAUUACUGCAAAUACAAGCUACAGAUGUAUCAAAUCAGGCAGUAAGCAGUUGUGAACUAAAGAAUUAGCUUAAUUCACCGUACCUUAAUACGAAGGUAAAAUUCUGUAGCUGUCGAUUCACACUGAAGCCCCAGACAGUCACCAUCCCUAUCGUAACACUAGUACCGUACAACUACGACCGUUGACCAGCUCGAAAAUGCAGGAUGCAUGCAAAAAGACACAACAAAGUAAAACCAUUAUUUCUGACAAGUGACAAGGUAAAACCUAACUAUCAAGCAUUAAAGCCCUACCAAUGCAAUGUAAACUCUACUAGUCAUCUCAUCUGUUCUUUUAAUUUUUUUUUUCAACUCUAUCUUUGCUCAACAUGAGAAUUGGUAGCUUAUCUCUGUGCGGACUGCAAAUUCUGCAAUGCAGCAAACAUGUCCACGUUUUAUCUUCACCCAACCAUGUAUGUUGGCAAUUGCAAGGCUUCUCUGUGAACCUGAAGAAUGGUAUAUUAUUUUAUGAAAUGUGAUCCACGAAGCCAAAAUAUGGGCAAGCAAUAAAAAAAACUGUGAAAUGUCAUCUUCUACUAAUGGAGUUCCCACACCACAAAACAGAAUACACUGGCACAUUAUUAAGGAACCAUGGAAAACAAUAUGGUGAUAUAUGUAACCAGCAUGCAUUGUGUACUUCAUUUUUUUUUUCUGUUGCACUCAUCAUCUGCUAUUUCUUCAUUGUAAAUUUGUAAUAGCAACUACGGGGCCUACUGACCAGGCUCAUCAAGAGCUUUUUAGCUGCGAGCUUAUUAACUGCAUACACAUGCUCACUGAAGCUUCUGCUCCAUCUUGGCGGCAACAGAGAUGGAAGGUUGACCAACAAACGCCCUGAAGAUUGCAUGCUGCGUUCAGUGAAAGGCCGGCCGGCCCUGUCGGCGCCGGCAGCCGCCGCCUGGUCGGUCAAGCAGUUACAGGUCAGCUCUGGUCAAAUUCAAAUUUGCUCGAUGGGGUGGUCAACUCUUAGCAUCAUGAAGUGGACUCGAGCUCUGAGCAUGUGGUUAUGUUGAAAGGCAGUAGCUCAGUUCAGACGGACUUCAGCUUCCAUGUGACAGUGAGGCCAUGAAGCCUCAUUACUGCAAAUACGACCCCGUCCAUGGGUCAAAUGAGGCGGUUAGAUUUUGUGAGCCGUGGCACGUGUCCGAAGAAUCUGUCAGCUUAAUUUACCAUGCAUAGGCCCUGGGAUAAAUUAUGAAUUAGGCCUCAAUUUAACUUCUGGAAAACUUAUUUUAGUUAAUAACACGAUUGUACCAAAACAGCCUCAGUUACAAUGGAUUACCUACAUAUAUUACUACAAACAACAUGUCUAUUCCAGUGUGCACAAAAAUGAGAAUUUGGUUAGCCCUCAAAAAAAAUGACAAGUUGGUUUGAUCAGUAUGCACUAUUCCAGUUACACCAUAAUUGGUCCGUCCCAAAUUACUAUUCGUUUUGACUUUUCUAGGUACAUAGCUUUGCCUACUUUGUCUACGUAUCUAGACUUAGUAUAUAUUUAGAUGCAUAGUAAAAACUAUGUAUUUAGAAAUGUCAAAACGAAUAGUAAUUUGGGACAGAGGGAGUACAUAUGCAUUCCAAUCAUAUAGCGUAAGGUGGACAUAAAAAAAAGUAAGACAGGCCUUGUUGAUGAAUUUUAUAUUUUUCCAGUAGCAUUAGUUAGCAUAUACACGUAAAAACACGAACUAUUGGACUGUACUCUGCAUGAGGCACACUUAACGUUCAAUUCAAGAUACAUAUUAGCUAGAAGGAACUCAUCUUAGUAUUUUUUUUUGUUGCCUUUUUAAACCCGUCUAGUCUCUCAGAGUGAUGAUUUGGCAGAGUGCGGUUCCCUCCCUAAAUGGGAGCGAGAGGGUGGCCUGUCGGUAGCCGUCGCCACCCUGGUCGGUCAAGUAGUUAUAGGGCCAGCGUUGGUCAAAUUCAAGUUUGUUCGAUAACCUGGUCAACUCUUAGCAUCUUGAAAAAAAACUGUAGAGUCUUGAGCAUGGUCUGCUUUGUUAAAACUCGGAAGGCUAUAGCUCAAUUGAGAGUGACUUGAGUGAAGCUUCCAACUCAUUAGUCACUGCUGCACAACGAGGUACAGCCUAAAGAUGGGUCAAAUCAGGCAGAUGGCAGCGUGAACCGAAGAGUCAGCUAAAUUCUCCAUCUCCAACUUACGAAGGUAGUAAAAUGCUGCAGUUGUCAGUUCAUCCUCAAGCGCAGAUUGUCACCGUCUCUAUUAACUGUACAACUACAACCAUUGACCUGCGGCACAUGCGGUAUCAUUUUGCAUGGCUUCUCUGUGAACCCUGACGAAUGGCAAAGUACUUUCUCAAACCAGAAUGGAGCUCCAUCAAGCCAGAACAUGGGCAUGCAGUAAAGUAUCAUCUUCUUCUAAUGGAGUUCCCACAACAUAAUAAAACAGAAUAAACGGGGCACACUGUUACACGGCGAUGGAACCAUCAUCAACACUCUAUGAUGGACUAAUCUGCCAGGGGUAGCAAAAAGUACAAAAAAGAAGUCCCAAUCUCACUGUCUAGCCUCGUGAAAUAACCGAUCAAGUUUCUUUUACAGCCUGCUUGCUUCUCCGUUGGUGCACAUCCCAGUUGAAUACCCGUGCAAUUGUAACCUGAUAAAGAUAUCAUUCCACGGCACAGGUAUGAGAUCAAGAAAAUAUCAUUGCCGAAUCCCACAAGACUGUUUAAGUCAUAACCGUUUUACCUGAGUGAUGGUUUGCUGGUCUCUCAAGAACUGAAGAUCGGCAACAAGGACUUCUAAGCUAGCCUUGGCAUUUUCCAAGUUCUUUUUCAAGAGGGCAUUGGCCUGCAAAAUUUCAGGAAAUGAGAGGGCCACACUAAAACAACAGUGGUUAUGGAAAUAAGGAUGAUUAAAGUAACCUCAUCGCAGGAGUAUUCCAGCAUCACAUUUGCACCCAACCACAGGCACACAGAGUCGGUAUCUUCAAUUUUUGCACGCGAGUAUAUCCCCUCGGAUAGUUCGAAAUCAGCUACAAGUGCCUGCAUCAAUUAGUUGGAAGCCACAUAUAGUUAACUUUCACUCAUAUGGUUAUCUACAGAUACAACUCCCAGCCUGCACUUUAAGCAUUGUUGAGCUUUAAAGAAGCUAAGAAACCCACUGCUCAAUUCCCAAACAAUGUGCUUGCAGAUUUAAGGAUUUGAUUAUCUUGAAAAAACAGCUUACACAGUUGCCAGUGGAUAAAUUUGUGGUAUGGUGCCAGCAUAUAAAAACUAUGGUGCAGGUAUACAAACUUUCCAAACUUAACACUCUUGGUUGUUUUAACUGAGAACACAAUAAUCUCCUGUUCUUUCGAUGAUUAUGCUUAGAGCAUUUUAUCCAGCAUAAACUCUCAGCAGGCAUUUAGAUGAUCAUACUCCAUAUCUAGCAUAUAAGAAGUUAUUAGCCAAUAAGAAGUUUGCAGAAGAAAUAAACGAUAGAAUUCUUGUCAUGCGACACACAAAUGUUUGCAGAUAGUAAUCUUCAACACAAACUAUACAUAAAAAAAUUGUAGUCACAGUCCAAGAUCUAAAAUUUCAAGGCAACAUAACACAAUUCACAAAUAUCAAGUAUCCCAUGGACCACAAAUCUGUACAUUUUAUUAGGCUAAAGUGCUAUAGCAUAACCUUCAACAACAAAGUCAUCAUGAUAGUCGAUACAAAUGUAAAAGUUGAUCCAGAGUUCUAGAAAAUUAUACAAACCUCACCCAAAGCCUUCUUAGCCUGUAGUGCUGCAACAAUGUCCAAGCAUUUCUCUAUAUCAGGAAUUUUCGCCUGUGGCAACAGAAUGGAAGGCAAAUAUGUUACAUAUUCUAACAGAGUACCCAGCACUGAAAAACUGCUAAUAUAAGUACUAGCUAGAGGAUAGCUGUGCUAUAAAACAUGGUACCAUGAAUGAGAAUCUGAACUUUAGUAAUAACAAAAUCAAACGUUUAAGAGAAAGUACUGUGAUAAAACCAGGUCAUACUUCCAUUCAUAGUGCAGUAGUAAUGUUAAAGUAACUGUAACUACUAAAUUUACUAAUCAUGAAACCUAAAUUUUACUUUAUAUAAGCAUGCCUCCAUAACAAAACUAAGAAACAAAAGGUAUGAGCACCUGAAGAUCUCUUUGUUGUGCUAGAAGCUUCAUCUCCACUAUUUUGUACUGCUGUAGCCUAAAAAGGAAGGUGAUCCAUGAGUUACAUUGCUUCUCAAAAUAAAGCAUAACCAAGUAAGAAGUCAUUAAGUGUCCGCACACAUAUAACAACUUGCAAGUUUGCCAGAUACAAGGAAAUUCUCAUGAAUUAACUCAAUCAAGUCUGAAUGAGUGCCCCUAAGGUUUCUCCCAAUGAAAUUACAACUUUCAAAAGGAAAAAUCUUCAGCGUGGUUACUCAGCUUUAUGCCAAAGUUUGGUGGACAAAGCAGCUUACAUGGGAUGUUUAUAUGCUCACACGCUAACAAGUCACACAAAUCUCUAGGCAAACACAGUUAGUUACUGUCGUGGGCAGGUAAGUAUGAUUUUGGGUUGAAUCCAAAAACUAGGUCCAUUUGCAACCCCCAAAACGUUUAUCUAACUAACUUGGUUCAUGCAAAUGGCAAGGAGGUCAGAUUCAGUGUCAAUGUCAUGGUGUUUCAUGCCAAAAGAAACUCCAACCAUGACUAUAUUGUGCACAGAUGUACACAUUGCUGAAAGUCCAAUAAGGUGGCUUCAGACUCUUUUUGCAUCUCCUAGCACAUCAUGUUCUUGUCUGAUGCCCCAUGAUGGACAUGAGCUCAGCACAGGCGAAAUAAAAAAGUUAUGGACGACCAGACUAGGACAGGGUAAACAAAUAGAGGAUGGCCAUACCAAAGACCUUAUUAUCCUAGCUUGUCAUUUACCUUUAAUGUUGAGCAAACUUCAAGUGGAAGCACAUAUAACCAGCAAUGUAGUGAAUAGAUGAUAUAGCAUGGUUGAACAGCUGGACUCCAACUGACUAGAUCAUGCAAACUGUUUGCAACAUAUAGUAUCCACGAAGAAGGAAGCAGUCUAAAAGAGUAUUAAUCUAGAAUGGUAUGCUUAUGUAAGAAUGAAUUUAUUUGUAGAAAAAGGAUAAAUGGACAUUAACUAUGCCUAAUGGACUUAUAUAUCCUAACUAUCGUUUCCGUGCAACUGUGCAAACACACAAAUUUUCACUAUGAGAGUUGAACCACCAUGGGAAUGAACUAUUAGCAUACUGGAACAGAACAUAAACCUUCCUAACAUUGACCAGACAGCUGAAAGUAGAACUGAAUUAGGUAUUCACGCUCAAUAUUUUCAUCGGUGAGUACUAACUAAGAAGGAAACCGAAAUCGAAAUGUCAAUAUAACCAUAUAGGCCUCUGGCUGAAAGUACUGCCAUAAUAAGAUAAUAAAGCUGGAAGUUUCUUCUUCCUUUUCUAUAUUGUGCAAACCAAGAGUGUCAUCAGCAUUCAGCACGAAUGGAUGACCUUUAGCAACAGAGCACCUUUACAGUACACCAAAAUCAAAAUCGUUGCACAAUUAAUUCAGCAAACAAAUUGGCAAGCUUGCCGAGAUCCGAGCAAAGGAUCAGCUUAUGAAUCCAGAAGCACCGCCAAAACCCCCCGCGGUACUAUCCCUAAACGAAGCUCCCAGUUCGUCAGAUCACCCAAAAAGUGGGGAGCGUACCCACCUCCACUCCUACAAGGGAGAGAAGGCGGCUAGGAUCCAAACGAAGCGGACAGCUUCUCUCAAGCUGCGCGCGCGAAGAACACGCGGAGAGGUCGACGAUCCAUGGAUCGUAGCCAAGCAGGCUGUCCGCCCUGACACGACGACGCGAAACCUCCGGUACGAAGACGCGGUUCCCGGAUCAAGCGCGCUCCAUAGCAGGCCGAGAUCCCUAGGCUACUAAACUACUUAUUCACGGCGCAGGCAAAGGGGGGAGUGGAGGGGCAGGGUUACCUUUCCUGGAGGAAGGCGAGGGCGGAGUUCACGUCGAGCCCGGCCUGGCGGAGGUAGGCCUCGACGUCCUCGACGAAGGCCGCCGCCGGGAUUCCCCGCCGCUCAGCCACCCCCUGCGGCGUCGAUGCCGCCGCCGCCGCCGCCGCUGCCAUGAAGGGAGAGAGGGAGGAAGACAAGGCCCGGGCGGAGUAGAGAGCGAGAGAGAGGGGGAGUAGAGGAAUAGAGGGAGAGGCAGCGAAAUCAAAAGCCCAAAGUGGACCGACCACGUUUGGGCUCUUGGCCCAUUCUGACGAAACGUAUGGCGGCUGGUUUCGCGGCCCAAAACAACGGGAAAUCUAGUGGGCCGCCCCAUUUGAUUCCGAGACGGAAACGGGCCUGCUGGCUAUAUGUUACCGCCCUGCAUGGGGAGAGGGGAGAGAGAGAAAGGCCUCUGCCUCUUCUAGGACGAAAUCGAGCGCAAGGAAGAUCCGAAGAAGGCGGCGAUGGCGAAGGUGCUCCGCGGGGCGCGUUCCGGAUCCUCCUCUCGGCUUCCGAUCCCGGCCGUCUUCCGCCGCAUGGCGCAGGAGGUCGUCGCCCAGGGAUCGUCUCCGGCCGCCCCCGCAGUGGGCAUGGGUCGUCUGAUGCACACGGUCCAUCCCCUCUCUCCUCGAUUGCUUGAUGUGUUCUCUUCAUUUUCUACUCCGGUUAGGGUUAUACAAGAUUGAUUGUGAGAGAGCGUAAGGCUUAUGGUGUCCGGAUCUGAACUGGAGGGACUUCUUGCUAUGUUCUCUUCAUUUUCUGUUCUGAUUAGGGUUAGAGAAGGUUGCUUGUUAGAGGGGUUAGCUUUAGCUGAUGGUUGCUGAAUUCGAACGAGUUUGCCAACCACAUCAAUAAGCGGCGGCCUGCUGAUUGCGGAGGGGAACACACAGCCAAAUCAUAGCUGAUUUAACUAAUUAUUACUCCCUCCUCCUUCCAAAUUAGAUUUUCCUCCUUCUUCCAAAUUAGAUUUUGACCAUUCAUUUAUCUCACUGAUUAUAAACUUAUAAGAGUACGUUUGAUUCAAGUUUAUAUUGCAAAAAUAAAAAAUUAUUGAGUAAAUUAUUGGUCAAAAAUGGUGAGGGAUAAGGGUACCCACAGGUUCCCACCGAUCAGGAUACUGGUUGGUCCUGAUAGGUGGGCCUGUCUGACCACGCUGUACGUGCCAAGGCAUAAAGAUACAUGGAGCACAAGUUCGGAGGCUGAGUGAACAGAUUCUGUUCGGAUAUUGCAGGAUACUUAUUGUAGUCCGACUCAGAUUGCUUUCCAUGUAACAACCGAUUAGGAUUAGAUCCUAUCCGACUCGUAAUCCUAGGUUAUCAGGCUAUAUAGGGGGUCAGAGACACUCCCUGGGGGUAACACACAUUGACCCUUCGCAUCCUAUACCUGCAAUACAAUCCACUAUAACAUAGGACGUUAGGGUAUUACUCUUCGAAGGUUCGAACCUGUCUAAACCUUGCGUCCCUAUGUUACCAUUCGAAUUCUUGAUCUUACGAUCUCCCCAUCCUACAAAUCUACCACCUGGGUAACCCCCUGGUGGACUGCCGGUUACUAAAUCCGACAGUUGGUAAAGUUUAAAUCUUGAUAUGCGUGCGUCUUAUAAAUAGAAAUGGAGGAAAUACUCUUUAGUGUUGGUGCUAGUGCUUUGUAUGAGAUGGUCCAUGUGCUUGGAUUUUGCUUCGACUUGAAUAUCCUUGCUUAAACUGAACUAUUUGCAGGGUGCCAAGUUGCCUUUCGGGAGGCAAGCUCUCUCUCAACAACAACGAUCGUGAGGAUGGAGCAGCGAGUACCUCAUGCACAUUACACUUCAAUAGUUGUAUAUAUGCUAAUAUGCAAGGUUUGAAAAGGCGAUAGGCGCUGUCUAGGUGGUGACCCUCCGCCUAGAGCUUACGCGCGCCUAGCCAUUUCCUAGGCGUUACCGUAUACCUUAAAAGAAAAGGAAAACAGAGGAAAGAAAAGGAAAACAGAGGACAUCAUUAGGUCUAGAGUUGAACGGAAAGGCUUGUUAAAGCAGCCCAAGCCCAAGUCUGAACAUCACCGCAUCCCUAGCAUCCCUGUCCUUGAAAUAAAUUGCGUGGGGACGGUCCUUAGUUGUUUCUCGAUGAGGACUUCCUCCCAUCGGGUGCCGCGUGGCCUAGACGGUGAUCCGACACGUCCGACGCUCGCUCGCACAGGCGCUGGCUCGCUUGGAAAUUGCAUCACGCGUGCCCAGGCUCCCGAGUCACCUCAUUGGCGGAAGCCCUUCUCGCUCGCCCCGUGCGGUCCGCUGCCGCUGCCGCUACCUCCGUCGUCCACCGCCGCAUCCCUUGCGUGCUGCCAAUGCUGCCACCGUUUUCCAGCGUCGUAGCCUCAUCUGCCGACGUAGCUGUCUCGUUCAAGGCCACGCAGUCGGCGUCUACCGCCGUCCCUCUCAUCUAUCUAAGGUUCAAUUUUUCUUUUGUUUACCUAAUUUGCUUGAAACCGCUUCCUUCCCUUAAGACCUUAACAAUAUGUUAAAUGAUUUGGACCUGAGCAUCAUAGCCGUAUCAGCCAUCAUGGAAGAAGGAGGCCACAAGGAUAGCAGUCUGCACUCCACCAUAGGAGAAGCCUCCCCAUAUGUCACAACUGCAAUGGCGGUAGGAAGCCAGGAGAAGACAACAUUCUUGACUCGUCGCUUAUGGUGCCAUUUGUGCCUGCCUUAGCACACAACGUAAUGCAGCCAACGCAGGUAUAUAUUUUUUUCACGUUCUUUGAUCAUCAUAAGUUUUCACGUUCUUUGAUCAUCAUGAGUUUUCAAGUGUGUGCUAGAUUGCACAGAACUACUCCGGUAAUGACAUCAGAGUUUGUUGCACGAUACCUGAACAAAUAGCAGAUGAAGCACAAGAUAAGGUAAUUAAAUUAUAAAUAAUUUAUUUAAUUGAGAGCAUAAUGUUUCGUAUUGUGGUAAGUCACGUUAAUUCUCAACUUAAUGUACAACAGAUGGCUGAUGAAGUUGUGCAACCUAUGAUGGUUUCUGAAGUUGGAAUGGCUUUUGAAUCAAAGGACAAAGCUUAUGAGAUAUACAACACCUAUGGUGGCAAGAUUGGAUUUGUAUUAGAAAGAGCCAUACAAAGCGACGAGGAGAUAGAACUCUACGUCAGAAAUAUUUGGUUUGCAGUAAUGAAGGUCAUCGAGAAACUGAGUCAUCAAGGGAUACUACAAGGACGGAUUGCGAUGCUCGUGUUCAGUUUAGUAUCAGUAAAGAGAGGAUUUGGAUAGAGCAAAGGUUGUACUUGAUCACAACCAUUACCUUGCUAGUCCAAAUAAAAGGUGAAGUUGAGGUCCCAACGAAGUGUUCAAGAAGCGGACAGGAAGCUAAUUGGGCAGAUGAGGAAAUUCGGGAUGAAGCCAGCCUAGGUUUUUGAGUUUAUGAAGGAGUUUUAUGAAGGAGCCAACAAAGUGCCAUUCUCACAGAUGGAUUGCAACAAUGAGAUUGGUCGUGAGCGCAAGAAGUACUUAGAAUCCAAUGACGCGGAAACACUACUGGAAUACUUGAAGCAUAAGCAGAUAGAGGAUCCAACAUUUUUUAUGCCAUGCAAAUAGACAAGAAAGACGAUCGAUUAGCUAAUUUCUUUUGGGCAGAUGGCCAAUCUAUCAUGGAUUACGCAUGCUUUGGUGAUGCUGUGUCAUUUGACAGCAUGUUUCAGACUAAUAAGUUUGAAAUACCUUUUGCUCCAUUCCUCGGAACCAACCAUCACAAGCAAACUAUCAUUUUUGGAGCUGCAUUGUUGUUUAACGAGAAUAUACCAUCAUUUGUUUGGCUGUUUGAAACCUUUCUAACAACAAUGUCAGGCAAAUAUCCUAGCACAAUCUUCACUAUUCAAGACGCGGCUAUGGCAGGAGCAAUUGCUUAUGUAUUUCCAAACACAAGUCAUCGUCUCUGUUUGUGCCAUAUUUACCUUAAUGCUGCUAAACAUCUUGGCCAUGUAAUUCAAAAGCAUCCUGAGAAGUUUCUACCUGAUUUUAAGAGAUGUGUCUAUGAAGACAGAUCGGAGUUUUACUUCAAAAAGAAGUGGGAUGAAUUGUUGCAUGAGUACAACCUUGAGGACAACAGAUGGAUGGAAAACCUAUACGAUUUGAGGGCAAAAUGGGCUAAUGUGUAUCGUGACUCAUUUACAGCUGAUAUGAACUCAACCCAAAGGAGCGAAGGUAUGAAUAAUGUAUUCAAGAAAAGAUUUCGUGGAAAACUGGGUCUUUCGGAACUCCUUGAAGAAUGUGAGAAGGUUUCCAGUAGUCUUCGUAAUAAUAAGUUGGAUGAAGAUUUUAACUUACGUCGAAAGAGCCCAAUUACUCGUAUUCCUCUAUUGAAGACCGCAGCUGAGUCAUAUACAAGGAGGAUGUAUAAAGAGUUUGAGGAAGAAUUUAACAAACAAUUUUCAUUCUCUUGUAAGUUGUUGCAAAUUGAAGGGUCAAUUUUGACAUAUACGGUUACGCAUAUGCAUUCUGAUUAUGAAGCAACUGUCAUAUUCAACAAAAACAGAUAGUACCUGCACAUGUGCUUGCAGGGAGUACGUAUGUAUACAAAUUUGAAAAUGCAAUAAUACAGCAUCUAAUACAAAUUGAUGAAACAUGGCAUCCAUAUCUGAUAGGUACAUUGUGCAAGCAUGCUUUCAAAGUCUUCAAUGUGAAUGAUGUUUUCAUUUUGCCUUCGCAAUAUAUACUACACAGAUGGACAAAAUAUGCAAAGAGAAGAUUUUAUAUUCAAAAACAAGGAUUUGACGAGGAAAGUUUAAAAACGCAUGCCGCACGUAUCUCACGGAAGGCAACAUCUAUUGCAUUGAAGUGUUUAAAGUCAAAAGAACUUUUUGAUCUUUUGGAGAAAGCCAUGGAUAAGUUGGAUUUGGAUGCAGAUAAUUCUCUAAGCAAAAUGGAAGAACAAUCUAAUGAGUCUCCUCUUGUUUCAGCUGAAUUCGUAACAGAUACAUUUAAAGGUACAAUAUCGUUUAGAGUUCCUGAGGUGGUAAAAGGUGCAAACAGUAAACGAGGGACCAUCUCCCUUAAAAAAAAAUACAGGCAAGAAGAAGAAAAGUGCUAAAAAGAAAGAUAUUGAUUGUACCAAUUCUAGCAUUAUUGUUUUAUUCUACGCUUGUAUUAUUAACUUUAUGUGUUUGACUAUAGGAGAAGAAUCAAAGAAUGUAGCAAAAAAUAGUUAUGAAGGUGCUGGUCCAGAUAAAUUUAUUGUAAGACUUUUGACUUCGACUACAUUUAUUUUUCAUAUUUAUUUGCUUACAUGCUAUUUUUAUGAACAUUUUCAUAUUCUAUGACAGACCUAAAUGAUGGUAGCAUUGAUGCUAACAGUACACCACACUUCAAUAUGCACGGGAAUUCUUCUGUCACGAGCAUUCCAUAUAUUAGAGGAGGGUACACAAGUCUCUUACUUGGGGUUGAUCAAGCUACCACAAUGCAGCUGUCUGCUAGAAAAUUGAAUUUUGAUGUACCGAUAAAUAAAGAAAAUAUGUAACCUUGUUGUGUUACAGCAGAAAUUUAUUUUCACUGAUGCUUAUUUUUCAUCUAAGCUAUGUCGAUUGGAACAUGUAAACUUAUCUAUAUUGUUUUAGAAGAACAAGCCAUCUAUGGGAUCAUAUAAUUUGUUUUUUUUUCAUAUUACCAUAUUGCACUCUGUUCUGCUGUCAUUUUUCUUCUUUUUUUAUACCACAUAAGAGGAUUAUUGAACUAGAUUGACACAUUAAGAUAGUAUAUAUUUUUUCCAACAUAUCCAAAUAAGGCAUGUGUGUUUAUAUUUUGCAACAAGUCAGAGAUCAUUUUUUUAACAUAGCCAUCACAUUGAUCGUGUCAAGCCAUCUGCAUAUCAUUGCACAGAUCUUACAUGGACACUUGAUCUUGUCUAAAAAAAUCUUUAUACAUCUGUGAUUACUUUAAACUACAAACUGCAACAUCAAACAUUUACACUCCGGACUGCUCCAAAAACUUACUUCCAACCUGCAUCCCAACGCUACUCAAAGCUGACGAGAAGAAAAUCAGCUCCAAGAAGAGGAAUGUGACAAAAAACGACAGAACCUUAGUAAUAUUGGACUCCCAUAUUAGAAGCAUUAUGAUUGUAACAUAAACCGUGGCCAUUAUCAUCACACCAAGCUCCGCUAUAGCUGUUCAAGAUGGAACUGUGUCAGAGCAACAGAAACUAAGCAUAUUUAAUAUCGGCGACAAUAAAACUACUUGCAUCAAAAACAUAUUCAAUAACUUACCAUAUGCAUUGCCAACAUCAUAUACGCUUCUGAACAAAACAAUGAAGCCCAAGCAGGAAACCAGCAGGAACCAGUUUACAACAGGAAUGUAGAUUUUAGCCAUAAAUUUUCGAGAUGUAUGAAUAAUUUUCAGCCAAGGAAAACAACCAUGUGCUAUAGACUGCUUUAGGCACUGGAAUAUAGCAACAGUCAUUGUCCUACUGGCAAUCAGUGCAGCCAAAUUCGCCAAUACGAAAACAGGCCAGAAAACUCCACCAGAAGAUGGAGGAAAACGGGGAGAGCGAGAAGGGCUUCCGCCAAUGAGGCGACUCGUGGGCCUGUGAUGAGGACAUCACAUGCUCGGAUACAACCAUAUUGGCAUCUUUUGACUCCGAGGUGAAACAAUUCUUUAUCAUAAUUAUAUGUGAUACAUUUGAUGAAUUGAUGCUGCACCAUGAUGUGUAUUCGUUGUCAAUUUCAGAAAUACAUACAUGGAUCAAAAAUAGUGUUAAACACACAUGGAAGGCAUGGAGGACCAAAGAAGUAGAUUGGGGGCCAAGUCCAAGUAUUCCUAACGUCCUCCACCAGGCCACCACGUCACUUUUGGCCCAAGGAAAGAAAGAGAUCCAAUCCAACACGUUUUGGUGCUGGAUUCGGACUACAGUUCUGGCCCAACUUGCAACGACCGCCACGACCUCAUCCGGACUCCGUUUUGGACGUUCAAGUACUCCUUGGAAUCCUUAUGAAGUCUAUUUUCAUAUGGAUCCGGACUCAUGUCCAUAUCUAUUCUGAGGCGGCCGCAAUCAUCGAAACACUACCGAGAGGUUUUCUGUCCACAGGUGCUGCGUCGCCCUAUUUUGGCCCGAUGGGCCGUGUAUCAAGUUGGGUCCAUUAGAGACGUGUCCUAGGGUUGGAGCACGACCCCAACACCUCCCUGGUCGUCCUCCUAGGUAUUAAUAAGGAUUAGAGCCGCCACGAACAGAUUGGGUUUUGUUUUGAUGAAAGUUUAGCCAUUGCUACUUCCUUGUAGACGCGUGUGUCGACUAGACCAUCCGUUCUACUUGAUUCAGAACCCCAACUUUGUGAUUUCAGAUUUGUUUUCAUCUCCAUAUUUGCAAUUUAGUUGCUUGUUCUACUUGUUCUUGCUUGUUCUUCGAUUGCUUGCAGGACGAGUGCCCUAGUGGCCGGGUGACGCGCUCCACAAGAUCGCGGCAGCCAUUGGAGGUGGUGUAUCGGUUGCUAAGGCGCAGCUUGGAAGGCUGUAGUCGGGCCGUGAACGUCGUCUCCAUCCACCAAUCGAGUUAUCCACGCCUCUCUCAUCGAAAGAUCGGGAAUCAACCCUAGCGGGUUCAUAUCAGCCUGGACGCGUGCGACGCAAUUUCCAAGCGAGCCAGCACCUGUGCGAGCCGGUGUGAGAGAGCCUGUGCGAGCGAGCAUCGGACGCGUCGGAUCACCAUCUGGGAGAGGGUCCUCACCGAGAAACAACUGGGGACCAUCCCCACGCAAUUUAUUUCCCCAGUCCUACCUUAUCCAUUCGUGAGCACGCGCCCUCCCACAACCUGAUGGUCCUGACCUGCUCAUCUGUAGCCGCCACCCGACCUCCCCACCUCCCCCUGUGUUGCCUCCUCCACCUUCACCCCCUGUCUCUGCCUGCUUCGCCGCCGCCCGACGUCCUGCUAGCCCCAUCCCCGCUUUCUCGACCGCCAUCCUUGCCUCCCUCAGGAGUCCACACUUGGGUGGAUCUACACAUAGCGGCCACAGAGGACGUCAUAUCCGCCCGUCUCUAGGUGCAGAUGAGGGGGCGCUGCCUAGGGUGCCGCCUACCCCCUAGGCGAGGUGGUACCCUGCCGCCCAGCGCAUAAGCACGCCUAGGCAAGCGUGGAAUAGCGCCUUUUGUAACACUGCUAAUAUGAGUGCAAAAUUCAUCAAGUGAGGAACCUUCACUCAAAAUAGAUAUGAACAUUGUGUUGUAAGAGGAGUGCUUUGUAAUAAUUUAGAUGUCAUUAUAGAAAUUUCUUCAAAACUAUUAUUCCAAUAUAAGCUUGAGCGGUUGCAGACUAACUUCUAUAAUGCUGAAUUUUCUUUCAAAAAUAAGCCAUAAACCAUUUCCCUCACAAAUAAAUCAAGGCUAAAUUGUUGAUCCAGAAUUCAGAUGCAAUAAUUGAGCUCUACAUCCAUCCUAAAAGCCAUUGACUUGCAGUUGCAGUUGUCCAGUCAAUAAAUGAUUAUGUAUCAGAAAUCAUCUGACAGAAAAAAAAUGAUUUAGAAAUUGAUUUUUGGAUUAAAUUUUUUGUUGUGGACUACUUUUGCAGAUAUAAUCAUAAUAAAGUAAACAAUAUGUCCAUACAUUGGAAGUGGAGGGAUAGGGAACUGGCCACAUCAGGUUACUGAAGACUGGAUAAUAAAUUGCUACAGCUAGAACUAUUUUUUGAAGUGCACCUUGCAAUUUUGAGAAGAGUUAUUUUCUUUUUCUGUCAUGACCCAAUCUUCAUCCAUUUAAACUUCAAGCCACAAACUUGAGAGUGAUAUGACUGAAUGCUUGGAACAAAAUUUGGAGUUGCAGCAACAUCGCAACCGAGAAGAAGAAAGAAAACAAUUGCUUAUUUAAAUCUUCAAAUUUCCAUUUCAUCGAGCAAGCUUGCAGGCAGUCGGAAAAUUUUUUGUCUCCUUCAUGCUUGUCACUGUCUCAUCUGGAAUUUGAUGGAUCCAUGUCACCGCUGAUUAUCAAGCAGGGAAGCUGAAGUAAAAGACACCAGCGGUGACCAUAAGGCCUAACCGUGCAAUACGUAUUUAGUGUGAGACUGUCGUGUGGGACCUCCGUGGCCGUGAGCGUGUUUCGCCAUCGGCUGUAACUGAAAGAAAAACAUGUAGCUGUUGGCGCAGGAUUGGGGCCAACACACGAGAUGUGCUGGAUGCACGGAUCGCAGCAAAUCAGCACCACGAACCUCCUGCAAAGACCGAUCUGACCGGUCCAGGAAGCCGGUUUGACCGGAUUCCUAGAAGCUGCCGCAGUGACUACGAACACCUGCUUAGGGCAAGUAUAUUGCUACACGUCAGCGGUCUCAUAGGUUGUCUCAUGCAGUGCCACGUAGGAUUUUUGAUGAUGUGGAGGAGAGAGAGCGAGGAGAGAGAAAGAGGUCGUUGCUUCACGAAACAACCACCUCAUGAGCUAAAUUGUAGGACUACGAGACAACUUAACAACCAUUGUACGAGUUAUUGUUGCCAUGCAACUCAUAAUAUUUUAUUUUUCUUAUGCACAAAUUAAAGAAUUAUAUACCACUACCAGAUCCUGUUAAAUCGUCUCAAGAUUACGUGUCAAUACAUGAGACCGCCUAUUAGACAACAUCAAUGUACUUGCCCUUAGGAGGGACUCCGGUGGGAUCGGUAUAUGUAGGAUUGCUUUAGGAUCGGCAGGCCACUUAGAAGGUCUUUAGUCACCGUGAAGACGAAGGAAAAAAAAGCAAGAUGAGAUUGGAAAAGUUAGGGUAAAAGAAUAAAGGAAAAAGGAUAAAAUAGUAGAUUGGUUUUGUGUUUGAUCGAUUGGAUGUCCUCAAUCAGCCAUGGACCUUUAUAUUUAAUAGGAAGGGGAGGUCUUGCCCCAUUAGGAGUCGAAAUCCUAACAAAUCCUGAGUUAAAAUACAACUCCUAACUCGGACUAUACAGACCAAAUCAGUCUGACCGCUCUGGCAUACCGGUCUGACCGGUUUUCCUAGGUGCAAAUCUUCCCGAGGUCAUAAUUCUCUCAUCCGAACUCCAAAUCGAACGUUCUACAUAUGAAUUUUGAUCUACUCGACGAGAGCUAUACAAUGGUGAAGUCCAAUUUAUAUUUUGAAGACUUUGAUCAGACCGGUCUGACUGGUUUAGUGACCGGUCCGUCUAGAUCCUGCCAAUUUUGAAAAAAAAAACUUUGUUACCAGGUGGGAAAUUUAUUUUAGGUUAAGAAUUUAGAACCAUCAACUUCAUUUUCCCUCAAAUACGAAAGCCAAAAUGACUCGUUUAAGAAAAGCCAAAUUGAUUUACAUGCCAAGCCUCUACUUAUGCUAUGAUGUAAGUACUAUUGUAUUUGUUUAGGUCUGAUUUGGUUACUCUUACUUAUUUUUAGCACCCGUCACAUCGAAUGUUUAGAUACUAAUUAGGAGUAUUAAACGUAGACUAUUUACAAAAUCCAUUACAUAAGUGGAGGUUAAACGGUGAGACGAAUAUUAAGCCUAAUUAGUCCCUGAUUUGACAAUGUGUUGCUACAAUAAACAUUUGCUAAUGAUGGAUUAAUUAGGCUUAAUAGAUUUAUCUCGCCGUUUAGCCUCCAUCGAUAUAAUGAAUUUUAUAAAUAAUCUACAUUUAAUACUUCUAAUUAUUGUCUAAACAUUCGAUGUGACACGACGGUUUUCAUGUUGCUGGCAGUAUUUUCCUUUUUCCCGAAACAUGCCUCGCCCGCUCGACGAGUCGAGCAAAGCGUCGAUCGCCAGGUGAGCUCCAAGGCCCGACCGGGCUGCCCUCUACGGUGUCGACAUCUGGCCUCUGCCCAGUAGCGCUCAACUAGACGCGUUCCUCAGGCCUUGCCGCCUCCGCCGCGGGGGCGGGCUCCCAGCCUCACCACCUGGCCCGGCGCGGCAAUCGAUUGCGUCGCGGCGGCCCCUCCGUGGUGCAUUGCCUCUGCUCCGGCACCAGAUGGCCACCGCGACGAGCUCAAGCGCCUCCGCCUCCCAACUCGCUGCUCCCCCAAGCUGCGGCCUGCGGGACUCCCCCGCGGCGUGCCUCCAGGUGGCCGGGGCACCGCGGCCAGCGAGGUCGGCGGCGGCACUCACGGCCACCGCAUCCGGGUCGCUGCCGCUGGCGCGUCAAUGGCGGGGAGGAGGCGGUCCAGUUACUCCUCGAUUGCCGCAUCCGCGUGCCGCGGCGGCGACGUUGCAAUGACCCUGCUGCCGGCCAUUGCCGAUGUUUCGCGUGUAUACACUGACUCGGUGCCCGCUCGAUGCAAUGCCUCGGAGGAACAGAGUACCUUAGAAUGCCUUCGGUUGAUGUAAGUCCUCUCAAAUCGCUCUACAAUGAUUCAGAUAACUUGUCGACCAAGAUGUUUGCCAAAGGAGAGGGAAAUGAUAGGUGCAUUUAGCCAAAUGUAAUAAAUGAUUGUAGUACCUAGCCAUCCAGCAAAACAAUUAUUAUUUCUCUAACAAACAUACAUGUACGUACUCCAAAUAUUAAGCCAUUUUCUUCUUUACUUAUACUUUCAAAGUUAAUUUCCAGAGGUGCGGUACCCUAUUUCAGUUACCCAGUGGAUUAACAGAAAGAGGGUAUUAUUAUUUGUUUUCUUAUUGUUUGUGCAGUUUACGCAAAUCCAGCUUUCAAAAAGUCACAUUUACAUGUACUUGCUUGCGAAUUGUUCUGUUGUUUAGUUCUUUGAUGCACAAUAGAAGUUCUCUAUGUUCCAUUCUUUGUGUGGAUAAAUAAUUUGCAAAUAAAAAGUCACUCUUUUAUAAGGAAACCGUACAUUUCUGUAUGAUGCGACACAUCUGUUCGAUGAGUAGCUCAAUCACAUUCAGCUAUGUACUAUUACAGUAACCAUGCAUAGAUUGAUUUUGUACUUACCCUUUUGCAUGCCAUUUAUGCAGCAUGUUCUAUCAAUCAUUUAACUACCUCUUUUUUUUUAAAAAAAAAUGUGCCAAUUACAACAGCACUGUGUAGUUGCAAUCAAGUACCCACGAUUACCUAUAAUGUCAAACAUGUAGUAGCUAAUCUUAGCAGUGAGUUCUCUGUUUGCAAUGCUUGUUUAGUCUCUACGGUGUUGUUGAAAAUGCAUACAGAAUUAGGGAGGGACGUAAUAAACAUGUUAUUUGGAAUAUUCACAACUCUUUGAUUUUUUGCAAGCAAUGGCAUGUUAUUUCACAACUAAGUAGAGACUUCAUUAUCGUACCAUCACAUGUGCUUUCGUGAGUUAUGCAUCUAACAUGUGAUACAAUUGUAACAGUUUGACGGUAUAGCUUAAUUGGUUUCCUUCAAAUUUUCGUGAGUUAUGCAUCUAACAUGCUUGUUAAUUGGUUUUUCAAAUUUCACAGAGCAGUAUUCAAUUGACCUUUGCUGUGAUGGACAAACUGAGGAGAGAUAAGCCAGAGGCAGGUCAGCCUACUUUUAGGAUUUGCUGUCAGUUCAAGCAUCAUUCAGAGUCCAUAGUUGUUGAGCUUUGGUUCUGUUCUCCUUUCCUAAUGUAAGAAAUUUUGAUUUGAUCUAACGUUUUAAUGUUUUGAUUUACUUACUUGCAGUUGUCCGUGCUCCUACCAAAGGUAACUCCUCUCUUUCCACGCCAUCACUGCUCUGCAUUGUUUAUCGUAGGUCCAUUUCUACUUUUCCUUCUUCUGUUUUGCAUCAUCACAUCCUUCUGACCUUGGUGUUAGGGCAUUCAUUUAUACCAGGGAUGAAGUGUAGUUGGCACAUAGUACCAGAUUGUUCUGUAUGAAAUUUCUUCUUAGCCUUGUUUAUAUCUUAAAGUAUGAAAUAACCAAACAUCUAUUGACUGAACUGGAGGGGGGUGGGGAUCUGAUUUUUAGCCGCUACAGAGUAUAGGGAGAGGGUGUGGGUCUAGCAGUCGAGGAGUUCUCAGGCACACCAGAACCCAGUUUCUACAAAGAAAAUACGCAAACAACAGAUUCAGUUAUCAUUCAGUUUACAUAAUCAGUUCAGCGACUUCUUGGAUUCAGUUAACUUACUAGGACAGAAUGGAAGACCUCAAGUGAGUAAAACUUACCCUAAGUUCAGCAAUUGCUCUCUUGGUUCGUGCCAGAAUAUUUUUUUUUAGAACUGACAGGCUCCUCGCCCUGCCCCAUUUUAUAGAAAACAAGGCAUGACAGCUGUUUUUGUUUAGGCGUUUACAUGCUCGUCGAUAGAAGCCAGAGCAGUGUACUACCUAGUAGCCUACAGCACCAGACAGAGCACAGCCCGCACAGCAGCACAUGUACCGCCAUGCACUGCCCAGCUUGAACUUCUUCAGGGAGCCUCGAUUGCAAGGGGGUCUUGAGGACUUCCUCCAAAGAGUUGCACCAUUUGUUUAUAACUUCCAGCAGGGUCCCCUUGAACAUUGGCUUCCAAAUCAUCAUACAUUUCCACAUCCUUCGUAGCACUGUCUUUAUAUCCACCCAUACCUGUCCAUGAAAGAUCAUGUCGUUACGCGCUAGCCAAAGACCCCAGCAAACUCCCGCAGAGGUGCUGUUGAUUAUAUCAUAUUUUUUGCCACAUAACCAUUUGCUAGCCAUGUCUGAGUAACUUUUAAUCCAGAUAUUAGUGAAAGCAUUAACAAACUUCCAGAUCUUUUUGGCAACUACACACUCAAAGAACAGAUGUAGAACGGUUUCAUUCUCAUCACAGAAUUGGCAAUUCAACGGUUUCGAUAUGUUUCUUUUCAGAAGGUUGUCAGUUGUCAUCAAUUUAUUGUGUGACAGAAGCCAAAGAAAGACCUGAACUCUAUGAGUAGUAUGCACCUUCCAUACUGAAGGGACAUAGACAGGCCUAACGCCCCUGAAGCUAAUCACUGAGUAAAGGGAUUGGGAAGGAUAGACUCCUUUACUGUCAUACUGCCAGACCAAAGCAUCCCCCUCCUCAUUGUAAUUCACCCCAGUGACAAUCUCUUCCAACUCGUACCAUCUAUGCAUUAGAUACUCAGAGAAGUUUCUCCUAAAGUUCAGUUUUAUAUCCACUCCAUCCCAAACCUCAGCCAGCGUCACACCUAUUUGGUUGCAAAUACAGAAGAGAUCCCAGAACUGCACCGCCAAUGGCGCAGUUCCAAACCAAGUGUCCUCCCAAAAACCGUAUCUUGGUUCCAUCUCCCACCUUCCAUCUAUACCCAAACUUUAGCGCUUUUGCUGCCCACAUCACACCCUUCCAAAAGGUAGAUGAUUGUGAGUGUGGGAGACAAAAGAUAUUUGUUGCGUUCCUAACAUACUUCUGUUUUAUGAUGUUGUGCCAGAUUUUAUCCUCCCCCAUUAUGAACCUUUUUACCCAUGACCCCAACAGGGACAGGUUAAGGUUUUUCAGGUCAGGGACCCCCAGCCCCCCAUCCUAUUUUCUCAUACUGACCAUUUGCCAAUUUGCCAGGUGUAUUUUGCCGUGACCCUCAUAAUCAUUCCAGAGACAGUUUGCCAUGUGGGAAUUAAUAAUAUCUAGAGCCCAUUUAGGAAAUUUAAAGGACAUAAGGUACACCGGAAUACUAGCUAGGCAAGUUUUGAUUAAAAUUAGCCUCCCAGCAUAGGACAGGAGCUUCCCCCUCCAGCCCGCAAUUCUUUUGACAAUUUUAUCUACUAGUGGUUGCAAAUCCUCUCUUCUAAGCUUCUGGUAGUGCAAAGGGAUCCCUAAAUAUUUUAUGGGAAAAGCCCCCACAGGGCAGCCGAAGAGCCUCCUAAAAUUCUCUAAUUCUUGGUCUUCCAUAUUCAUAGGGAUAAUUUCACUUUUGUUAUAAUAAUCCUCAUACCUGACAUAAGCUCGAAGCAGGUGAGGAUCCACUUAAUGUUGUUAGCUUUUUCCAGAUUAUUUUCUAAGAAAAGAAUGGUGUCGUCCGCGUAUUGCAAACUCAUCACCCCAUUAGGACUAAACUCCACCCCCAAACCUCUGAUCAUACCAUGAUCAGCAGCUUUUUGCAUCAUUUUGGUUAGAACAUCCACAACUAAGUUGAAAAGAAUGGGAGAGAGGGUCUCCUGCCUAAGCCCUUUUUCAAAAUAGUUUCCUUCUGCAUUAUUUAUUUGGACUCCAACAGAGCCAUUAUAUAGGAUUUUCCUAAUCCAAAGUAACCAUCACCCCCCAAAACCUCUUUUGUUUAGUAUGUCCAUGAGAAAAUCCCAGUUCACUUUGUCAUAUGCCUUUUCAUAGUCUAGUUUCAAAACUACACCAGCCUCCCCCUUUUGGUGCACACUAUGGACAAUUUCAUGAGCAGUGACAACACUCUCCAAAAUAUACCUCCCUUUGAUAAAAGCCGUUUGAUCACUACUGAUCAGCCUAUCCACUACCAGAUUAAUCCUGUUAGUGAGCACCUUAGUAAAGAUUUUGUAACUGCAAUUCAGAAGACUAAUAAGCCUGAAUUUGUUCAUAGUACAAGCGUCAUUUUCUUUUGGAAUCAAAGUUAGCCGCGAAGUUUCGGAAAAUAUCAAGAUUACCAUGGUAAAAGUCAGUGAAAAGAUCCAGCAGAUCUUGUUGUAGGGCUCCCCAGAAGUGUUGAUAGAACAUAAAAGACAGACCACCCGGCCCUGGAGCCCCAUCAGAGUACGACUCAAAAACUGCUUUUUUAAUUCAGUAAAAGGCGCCUCCAGCACCUGAUUUUCUUGGUCUGUUACUUUGGUCUCCUCACUAAAGAAGUUUUCAUUAACACCUAUGUCUGCCCUAUCCUCAUGUUUAAAAAGAUUUUUAUAGUAGUCAAUCGCAAUUUUUUGUAUUUCUGCAGUGCUAGUGGCAAUCCCCUCGGGGCCUUCGAUAGCCUGAAUCAAAGUUUUCCUUCUUCUUUGGUUGGCUACAGUCUGGAAGUAUUUAGUAUUCCUAUCUCCCUCCCUAAUUUCUUUCUCCCUAGAUCUUUGUCUAGCUUUUGUUUCCUCCAUGGUCCAGAUUCUAUUCAAAUCCAUCAUAAUGUUACUCAUCCUAUUUACUUGUGAUUGGUCAAGGUUUUGGCUUUCAGCUAGUCUAUCCAGAGUGUCAUAUUCUCUUAGGAGCUCAUGUUUCUUUCUUCUAUUGGCAGCUUCUACAUUAAUGCUCCAACCUUUAACUUUCCUCCUGAAAGCCCUGAUUUUCUUUUGCCAUCUAUCAAUAUUGCUAUCACCAUUCAUCGGUGUGCUCCAGAAAUUCUCUACCAUACUUUUGAAAUCAGCAUGCUGGAGCCACCAUUUUUCAAAUCUGAAUCUAGGUUUUGGAAUUGAUUGACCUUCACCAGAAUCCCACAGAAUCGGUGCAUGGUCACUAGGAUUCCUGGGAAGAGCACUACAGGUAGCCAGAGGUGCUCCUCAGAAUAUCCAGACCCCUUUUCAGAUCUUCCUGGGCCUAGCUCCUCAGCCCUUUGUGCAUUCUCCUUUGAGUUCCUGUAGUACUGGCCUGACACGGCUAUGAGAGCUCCUCCGGUCAGCCCAAACAUCAUGAGGAUGACGUUGUUGAGAAAUUUCAUUUUCCUCUUGAGAUGUUGGGUAGUUGCGUUCAACUCUGUAACCAUCUUUAUGCAUUCUCACAUAAUCAAACAAUCGUAAAUUUGUGACCAAAAUUGUGAAAGAACAUUUGAUAGAAGAAAACAAUAUAGAACAAUUCAAACCUCAUGGGUCAUGUCAGGGGUUCCUCCAUUGCUCAUGAACCUCUGAAAUCAAGCAAAUUGAUUAAUACUAAUAUGUACACACUAAUGCCACUUAGUUAGAAAUAAGAACAAAUUCUUGAACACACAUAAGGUCUUGGUAAUUGCUGCGUUCCACAUAGUUCUAUCUAGAAUGUGAGACACAAUAGUUCUUAAGGAUUUUCUGAUUUCUUAAUGGUUGCAGGCUAGGAAUUCGAAUGAAAGUUCAACUAAAACAAGGGAACAAUUCUCAGGUUGCAAGGAAAUUAUGAUCCAUACAAGAUAAAGAGACAUGUAGAAACUAUGCCAAUACAUCAAAGUGAACAGAUGAAACUGUAAUCUCCAAAAAGGCUCUAAAUCACAAUCUGUAGUACAGUAUUAAAAUAAUAAAUACUUAACAUGGUAAGUGAUAUGUUGAAGAAACAAACAUAAUGGAUCAACAAUUUCACGGUAAAAAGAUAGAUAUGCCAUGUGGUGUGCAGCUCAUAACACAAAGCUCUAUUCAUAGACAGUGAAGAAGCCUAAAUCAGAUAACUUUUAAAUUCAUUAAGUGGAGAACAAAAAUUAAUCCAAUCGAUGAUCAAAUCAACAAAGAAAUGCAUGGUCUCAAGAUAAGAAUAAUUAAAGAUAGUUGUACACAUAAGAAAGCAUCUGCAAUUGACAAGUUGGAAAUGGAACAAACCCAGAUCUACUAUCAAAAACAACAAUAAAAGUACCACACAGUAUUUUGGAAUGUCUAUUAGAUAGCAGACUACACCAGCGUACCGCACAGAAUUUUGGAAUGUCUAGUAAUAAACAAAUUAGAUUGCAGACUACACAAUCACACAGAGGCACUUACACAAUAAGCAAUGAACUUAUGGAAACAUAUUACAAGUCAAAAGACUGUAAACAAUGAAAUAAUACAGCAACAACUGAACAACAUAUACAAACAGUGCAACCAAAGGAUAGAACCAAUAGAGGUGUUGCAUGUAUUGUACAAAUUACCACUGCAAACAUAAGAGAUCUUCAGCGACAAUUGCAAUUAGCUAGUAUCUGAAAGACCCCAGUUAAAGGUCAAGAAACUCAUAACAACAUAUUAUGACCUCAAAACAUAUUGAGUUACGUGUUCUGAGUAGCAAGCACCAGCAAAGCUCAAUUUUACAGAUUUUGACAAGGCAAAACACCAACCACACAGUUACCCUGAAGGAGAAUAGUUGAAAUAAGAUUACUAACAGAGCAAAACCCUUGCUAUACAAAAGAGAUUGCAGGGAGGUAGUGAGCAGAGAAUAUGCAACCAAACAACACAUACGAAACAGCAGAUCCAAACAAGGGGUCUGGAAAUGUAGGGUCAAUCGAAAACACAGUAUCUGCACAGAUACGCAAAAUUCGCUGAGUUUUAAUUAAAUCACCUUAAUAGUCACAGGCAAAACUAUUUUAAAAACUGUAAACAUUUCGACAGUUCAAUUUUGAUCUAUCCAGCACAUUAACAGCAUUACAACAAUAAACUGGCUAGGUUGGUGUCUGUUUUCAAAAUGGUAGCUGAGAAAUGAGAUGACAUCUACACCAAUAGGCUAGGCUAACUAGCAGACAUGCAACACUAUCACCUAGUAUCUAAAUUAGCGCAAAAGACCUAGGCUUGACUAACAAAUUUGAAAAAUUUCAGGAGUUCGAGUUUUAUUCAGUAAAUUAACAGUAAGAAACUGAAAUAUCUUUUCUUGGCAAACCAAUCCCCAAAAUUUAAGAUAUUGUUAAUUGCUGAAUUCCCCUUGUUCUUUCUACCAUUUGUGGUUCACAGAAGUGAGUUUUCAGAUUUAUUACUGAAACUAAAACACAGAGCAGACGAGUUGAACUGUUAAAGUGAAGCUUUUGGCUAGAAACCAGACUAAGAAUUAACACAGAUGCGCUGCUACUUUUUCUUCCCACAAAAGACCAAAUUUAAGAUAUUGUUAAUUGCUGCGUGCCCCCUUGUUCCAAAAUUUCAAUCAGCAGUAAGAUAGAGAGCUGGAAAGGGGUGGGGUAUCAGCAGUAAUCUCACCUUGAACCUUAUAUGAGAUCCAGCCCUCAGAUUGUGGAGCCAUGAAGAGCAAACCCUCCCCUGCCCCUGCUGGAACAGCCCUCCGAGCUCCAGAACGCGGGAUGGAGUCAAGGCUGGGCGGAUCCCACACCCUUCCCACGACAAAAUGUAUAUGAAAAAAGAGCAGGAUCCUUUAGGUGGGUAUUGAAAUACUGCAACAUUUCUUAAAAGCACCCUAUAGAAUUUAAUUGAGGUGGUGAAUCAACUCCAGACGUUCUUUUUUCCUUAGAAUUUUCCUUAUAGAAGGUUCAAAGAAAAGUAUGUUAUCUUAGCAAAUCGCAUUUCCAAUCCGGUUUCCCUAUUUUUUCUUAUUAAUCUCCCAUCCUCCCCUUUCGUGUUUUCAUCUCCUGCCAACAUCUACAGUACGCACCGCCGGACACCGCCCAUUCAAUUCCACCGACGCCGCAACAGUGGCGCCGCACGACAACCAGGCACCCUUGCCGCUUCAACUAGUUCCACCUAGCGAUUUUGUGUCGCCACUACGGAUUCAUAACCGACAAGACAUUUGACACCUAGUUAGCACUAGGACUUGUUUGGUUGCUGCCAGGCAGCACCAUCUGACCUUAGAACUCAAAAUCUAACAGCCUCGGUGCACUCCUGUUGACACCUCUAUUUUUGGAACGAGAUCCUUUGCCUUUGAUCCCUCUACUUUUGAGUCAAUCCCAUGGGAGCCCAAAUGCGAGGGUCCGAGGCUUAAAGUUAGAGGAACCUGGAACCUCUUCCCUAUUUUUGUUCCUCCAAGCAAAUCUCAAAGUUAGAGGAACCUGGAACCUCUUCCCUAUUUUUGUUCCUCCAAGCAAACCUAUUUUGACACUUGUUCUCUUCAGCCCAAAUUCAUGGUCACUCCUUUUGGGUUUGCAAGUUUCAAAAGUUCAUAAUUCCACAAUUGUAUUGGAAGUUUUAAAAGGUCAGGAUUUCUCAAUUGUGUGUGUGUAUGUAUUUUAUUUGCUUUACCCAUUUAGUUUGUUUUGAUUAUAUCUACGACAUUUCUCAUUCUAUGUUUUCACAAAAAAAAAGGAUAUUUACCAUGCGACAAGGCAUAACCCACAACUUAACAAAAUUUGGUAGCAUUGCGAUCCAAAUAAACAAAACCCGAACCUAUCAUGCCCUGACUAUGGUCAAGCUAAAAUUUGGUGGAGCUAGCUAGCCAUUUUUUGAUGGGCUUCAGCGUCAAGCACCCUGAUGGAAAGUACAUACUUGAUUUGAUGGGCGAUGGUGUUCCAUGUACACUUUGAACCAAAAAAGCGCUGAAAUUCAUAAAAGCCAGAGCGUACCUUUGGCAUCUGCAAAACAAAAUGGUAAGCAUCUUGCAAUUCUCUACCAGAUGGAAAUGAAAAGAGAAAGGCCAACAUUUAGUUAUUAGGACUAGGAGGUAACGAAAUGUAGUGUUGGAAGCAAAAAAAUAAUUACAACAAAUCUCUAGCAAGAUUAAGGCGAGCUAAAGAAUAAAUGCCUAAAAGCACGAGCUGUAUACAUGUGUAGAUAAAUUGUUUUGUUUUAUGUUUUGGGCUUAGCACGUGCAGAUGCGAAAAUUCGUGCAGUGCGCACGAGCAUUCGGCUGAACUUGCAAGGGUCUCGACUAGUAGGGCAUAGAGUUGGAAAUCCCGUAACAAGGGACAUUCAAGGGGAUAUUCCCUCUUCUCGGAUGAUGUAGUAUUAGUUGAUAAAAGUCGAGUAGGAGUAAAUAGGAAAUUGGAGUUGUGGCGGGAGACCCUAGAGUCAAAAGGUUUUAGAUUCAGCAGAACUAAAACUGAAUAUAUGUGAUGUGACUUUGGUACUACUAUAUAUGAGGAGGGAGAUGUCAGUUUGGAAAGUCAAGUAGUGCUCAGGAAGGAUACAUUUCGAUAUUUGGGAUCAAUGCUACAACGAGAUGGGGAUAUUGAUGAGGAUGUUAGUCAUAGAAUCAAAGUAGGGUGGAUGAAGUGGCGCCAAGCAUACGGUUAUAGGAUGGUGAUUAGACAUGCAAUGAUGUAUGGUGUAGAAUGUUGGCCUAUAAAAAAACAACAUGUCCAGCAGAUAAGUGUUGCGGAAAUACGUAUGUUGCGUUGGAUUUGUGGUCAUACGAGAGAAGGGAUCGAGUCCGGAAUGAGGAUAUACAUGAUAGGUUAGGGGUAGCACCAAUUGAAAAAAAGUUUAUUCAACACCGGCUGAGAUGGUUUGAACAUGUCCAACGAAACCUUCGGAGAUACCGGUACGUAAUGGAACCCUAAGGCAUGACAGUAACGUGAAUAGAGGCAAAGGAAGACUAAAAUUGACAUGAGAAGAGGCAAUAAAAAGAGAUUUGAAGGGAUGAAAUAUAUCCAAAGAUUUAGCCCUGAAUCGGAGUGCUUGGAAAACAGCUAUUCAUGUACCCGAGCCUUAAUUUGCAUCUCUUGUUGUGUUUCAACUUUAGCCUACGCCAACUUACUUGGGACUGAAAAUUUCAGCUGUUGUUGUAAUCAGAUACAGCAGCAUUUCUCAGCUUAUCAAAUGAUGACGAAAAUGCAGCGUGGUCAUACAAACCGUGCCAAGAACCAUAUGAAACAGGGCGCAAAUAUAGUGUAAUCGGCACAUGAAAUUUAGAAAUCGAAGGCACCAACCAAACCCGACGCUAAGAGUCUCAGACAGCAAAACACGGCUGAUGCAAGGCCGACAACGGCAGCCGGCAGAUGAUGCGAUACAAAAAAAAAUGCUGAUCUUACAACUUCGGUUUCAGUUCCCUCAUGAUCACAAUCGACCACAUGUAUACACCACUGUUGUCAGCGCAAUCUACACAGCAUGUUCUUGCCACAAAUUCAAGCCCGGAUCAGAUGUUAACUGCGCGUCGCCACGAAUCAGAACCCAAGACUCCAACCAGCCCGAGCUCAGUCACUAACCUAACCUUGCUGUCAGAACUCAGGAAUUACAGCCACAAUUGCCCUGGGGGUGAACUCGACAAAAUAGAAGGCACCUCAUCUGUACAACAAAUUCCCAGCCUUAGCUGUCCCAGGGAGCAAAACCAUACAGGAGGUCUCAAACCCUUCUCGAGAUCUGACAUGCCUCUGCGGCACUGCCGGUGAAAAUACCGUCUCGCCCGAUCGCUUACUCGCUUUAGCAAGUGACCGACUGGGAGUUGCGGUAUUCACUCCUCGAGGCUGUUCUUUGCAUUCCGCUGCUGGAUGGCAUAAUGUCUCUGCAGCUCUCGGAGCCUCUCCAUAAGGUCUUGAAAUGAUGGGCGCUGCUGUGGGUCGCUGCUCACAGAAAGGGCAAAUGAUCAGGAAUAUGCAAAUGUUACAAAAUACAGAACUAUAAAUUUUUUCUAGAGUAAAUUUCAAAAAUCUGCAAGUAUUUUGACAUAGGUUGCAGAAACCUACUCAGAAAUGCAGAGAACUACAGAGAAUGGGGCCUAACGCUUCACAUUUCCUAAAAGCAGUAAAGAAAGAAAGGAAAAACAGUAAGUACCUUUCCCAACAGCUUAGGAUAAUUGAUGACCAUUGUGGAUCCACAUCACUCGGAAUAUCCAAUCUUUGGUUCAUGAAACCAACUGCACCAAUGACCUAUGUAAGAAACAAACCCUUGAGAGUUAGUAUCCAGGAACUUGUCAAAUAUAUGAAGAAAAAUAAGCAGCCCAGAAAGAUCAACAUGGUAAAGGUGUGCUCUGCAAAAAUAUUAUCAGUAAAAGUGCUGUCAGGCCACAAUAGAUCUAUUGCUGGAAUAAAAAAAAAGAUUACAAGCUUUUGGUGGGGUUAGUAAUUCUAAUUCCCAUGUGGCCAAUUAAAAACUAGCAGUCAAAGUUUACUAUUCUCCUAAUUGAUAUGUUUAGACUUUUUUAAAGCUGCUACAAUAAAUAAUGAUCUUGAGUUCACAAUAUCAUAGUCGCAAUUUGUCACUACAUGUAUGGUCAAAAUCAAACAAAAUGUAACAAAAACAGAAUUAUCUAACAAGAAUAUACCUGCAUCGAGUUCAGAUUUUCCCAGGGUAUCUUCUGUGUAACAAGUUCCCACAAGAUCACCCCAUAGCUAUACACAUCAGACCUACAUUAGCACCAUGAAAAGAUAUUACUGAACUCAUAUCCAGAGGUGAUAAGAGGAACAUCUGUUCAUAAAGAUUCUCCACAGCUUACUUCUCAUCUGAAGGUUCAUUUCGCAACACCUCUGGUGCCAUCCAUUGUGGCUGGAUAGGAAAGCAACAUCAGCGAGUUAAAGAGAAAUCAACACAGGCAAAGCUUCGAACCAAUCACGUUAAUUGAUAUAUAAAGUACUUAAAUUAAGAUUGGUUGAACUUACUGUUCCUUUCCCAGUUUUUGUUGUCAGAAAAGUUUCACGCUUGAUACGUGAAAGACCAAAGUCCGCCACCUGAUUGACCUCAUGAAAUGAGAGGAGGCAAGCAGGAGAAUGUAAAAAAUUUGGAAAACAAAUAAAUUGUGAUGUACCUUCACAGUCCAGUUCUUAUCAACCAGAAGAUUAGAUGAUUUUAAAUCUCGAUGUAUGAUAGGUGGGCUGGAAUGGUGAAGAUAAUUCAUGCCCCUUGCCUGUAGAAACACAAAACACAGAACAAUAACUAGGGGAUUGAAGUAUACAUACAGAAAUAGUGUAGAACAUUGAACAAAAUUUUAUUUGCUAGGGGAUUGACAAGUCCCUUGCUCAAAAUAUGAAGCAUUAACUAGCUGAUCUAUGCACUGAAUCAUGUGGACAAUAGGCUCAUAAUAUAAAGAAAAUGCACUUACAAUAUCUAAAGCCAUGUGAACACGGCGUCUCACAUCCAACUUGGUACCACUCCUUUGAAGUAAGCGAAACAAGCUUCCCCUGCAUUUAACAAGGAUGAAAAUGGGAAAAGGAACCAAAAAUAAUAAUGUGCAAGUAAUCAUCAUAAGUUUGGGUAGGUGACACAAAGUGUUUAAAACAUGCAACCAAACCAAUCCAAGCAAAAAAGAACAGAAAAAAUCAUUUAUCCACCUCAGCACCCAUGAAGAAUAUCUUCAAGCUUAGAUAUUAAUAGUUCUCCAUUUCACAUGUAUCCAGAUUAUCCACAAGUUUGACAAAAGUACAUCUACAGUAGUUUUCCAUAGAACGAGAAGCAUCUUACUACAUGAUCCCACUUAAAUGUAUAUUUUACUCGAUAGACCACUUCCAACAACAAAGGCAUAUCAAUGAUUUCUCCGCUUAAACCAUGCCAAGAACUUCUGACUUUCAGUUUGCUAUAUCUUAUGCAGCUAUUAUUGUAGUAGUCAAACAAUUCAUGAUUCAAUCAGAUGUAAACAAACUGCUGAGCUCAAUUUCAUGAACAUGAGCAACAGUGAGGAAAUACCACAUGAUAAGAACUUGAAAAGGUUAGUAGACAUACCGAGGGAGGAACUCUGUUACGAUACAGAGGCGUUGUGGAGAUGUAACCGCACCCAUGAAGAGCAGUAUGUUAGGAUGACGCAGUUUCUUCAUGAGGGAUACCUUCACAUAUGAAUGACAUCAGUACAAUUAAGAAUCCAAACUUUGAAAUGAAAGUCACAAGAUCUCAAGUUAACAAAAGGCUUCAUUAACACUUCCAGAAUCAGCUCUAAAGAAAGUAAAUGAAGAUUUGUCAGCGUCACAUUUUAUGUUUGUUAUUUCAAAAAAAAAACAUUUUUAUGUUUGUCUACAUUAAUAUAUUUGUUGACAAUGGAAAUGGUAGGUUUUGCAGGAACCCUGAAAUAGAAAAUACAAAUUGUUUUUUUUACAAGUUUGUCUGAAGUCUGAACCAUCCCAAACUAUGACUUUUUGAUCAAACUAAUCCAUUGACACACAACGGUUCAUGGGCAAAAGGUGAGUUGUUUGGGUCCUGGAGGAUUGACAGGGAGAACUGCAAUAAUUAUGACACUAAUUGUGUUCAUAACUUAAUAAUUUCUGCAGCUAGAGGAUGAGCUGCAUGUCCUAUUGCCAUAAGCUGUAUGGUAGCUGUAGCUGGGGAUGGGUAUCUACCUCUUGUCGAAAGGUCUGUAUCAGUUCUUCUGAAUAUUCUUGCUUGGAAAAAACUUUAACAGCCACAUCCUGCUAGAAACAUGUCAAAUAAGAUGAUGAAACUAAAAAAUAAAAGUAAAUUGAGAUUAGUAAUGCAUGGUUCAUGCAACAGCCAAGCAACAGAACAUACCGAACCAUACCACAAAGCAUGAUAUACUGUCCCACAAGAGCCUGCAAAUACACAAGUUAAAAGUACGAUGAUUAAAAGGUAUAUAAUAUAGCAGAAUGCAGCGUACACCUAAGUUUGCUUUUAGUAGGAUGCAUGUAAAACUUUAUUACUUAAUAUAAAAGAACCUAGAGUGGAGAAUAUUCCUAUAACCAUAAUAAAGAUCAUGCCAAGGCUUAUUUGGCAAAUCUAGAUCCUCGUGUAUAUAAAGUUUCAAGAGCAUCCAUGUUGGUGAUCAAAAUUCUCCUGAGGUCCAGAUCCUAAGAGCAAACACAUGUGCUUGGAGCAGGACGAACUUAGAAACUAGUAGCAACAUAACAAUUUGAAAUCUCGAUCCCAGAUUUCAAUGCAAAGCAAGCUAAGGCUCUAGCCCUGGGUAUCAUCAUGAGCACAUGGUUUGCACUUCUAACAAAGUUAGAACCAAAUAGUGGCCAAACAGGGGCUAAAAUGGGUAUAUUCACAUCUCCAACUGUAGACCAUUCUAGCCCAGAUACAAGGGCUCUGGGGAAGGGAAAUUCUAGACAGCCUCACCCUUGCUAAACUUUGCAAGGAGACUGGUUUUAUCCCCUGGAACUCCAGACCACAAGUGUUGAGACUCUAACACUGUGCCAGGCCUGCCAUUUCUAUCUAGUCAUGAUAUCAUUUUUAAGAAGACAUAGAGAAUACAAAAACAAAUUUAGAGGAAAAGAAGCUACUCCGAAGUACAGACAUGCAGACAAUAGAACGAACCAAAUGCUGACAAAGAACACUAACAAAAUUACACGAAAGAAAAAUGGAACUUUUUAUUUGGUACGAAAAAGAAAUAUGAAAUCAUGCAUAAACACAUCCAUAUGAUCAAGCAACCAUUAGUUAAAGGAGAAGCAACUACCUUGACCUAUUUGUUCUCCAAUGACGAGGUCUUCCCACAAGAUCUCAUAAUCCAGACAAUCCGCUUCAUGAUCUAUUUUGUAGAGAGCACUGCUAUUAGUGCUUCCAGUGCUGCUUGCACUGCUUGUGCUGUUAUUGUUGAAAGAGGACCAGGAACCCGAUGCCUCAUUUUUGCUAGGCUGGUUGUGUUCAGCGCCUUGGGCAUCUGGAGCUGUGCUAGAAUCAGAAACCUUCUGAUGAUUCGGGCCAUUCUCUUGGUCACCAUGCGUCCAUGGUAAUGUCACAUGAUUUCUUUCAUCAGGUCCCUCAUUCUCCCGCCCUUUCCAAGGCCAUGAUAUCCCUUUCUUGUUCAGCAGGGCCUCUGCCUUUGAACUCAAAAUCUUGUGUAACCCUACUUUUCCUUCACCCGAUUCAUCACUGUUUGGGUUGGUUGAUUGCCCAGGCGAGUGCUCUUCCGUAGAAAAGAGGCCACGUGGUGCAUCCCCUCUUGGCGUAGUUGUUCCACUAGACGUCGGUUCUUCCUUGGCACCACGAUCAGAGCACUGACUCUCACCACUGCCACCUUCCCGUUCUAUGCCAUUCUCAUCUGCCCUGACCCGAGAACGAACUUUAUUUGUGACCUUGGUAGCCUGUGUUGUGAUUCUAAAAAUCAAAAAGGAAUAUGCUAGCAACAAACAAGAAUAUAUACUAAAAACAGAUCAGAUUUGAUGCCUACACAAGUUCCUCUGCAGAUAUCGUUCUGGAAUUUACAAAACAACCAAGGCAACAUCUACAGAUGACCGUACACCCCCAUUUAAAGUCCUCAUUAAGUAACUAUUGUUAUUGAGAUGGUGUGAAAUUAUAUGAUGUCUGGUAAAUGACCUUUGGAGUAGAAAUGGACCAUUGAAAGAAAAGUCUAUCAACUUGCAAAAUUGCAAUGUUUUUAACAACAUAUUAUUACAAGCUAGAAUGCUAUGUAUUUGGAAAAAGUAGUGCUAUAUCUACAACUUCUGUUUAAUAGAAAAACAGAGCUUACCAAAUUUGUUAUCUUAGACGCUAAAGUGCUUUGCAGGGGUUGCUGAGGAUCAAAAGGACUUCUGUUCAACAAAUUGGUUUUGCGACUACUGUUGCUGCAACUCCCAUCACAAGAUGCCCUAGACGAUUCUGGUUGGGGCCUUGCAGGGGUUGGAGGCCUACAAAAUAUCUGCUCCAAGUGGCGGGAAUCACUUGAAACGCAAAUGAUACCCACCAAACUCCCAUCCUCAUCGUAGAAAGGUGUGUUGGUGGCAACAGCUGAAAAUCUAUCUCCUUCCUUGUUCUUAACUGGAAACUUCCCAGUCCAACUUUCACCCAUAGAAAUACGUCGGAAGAUGUCAUUUACCACAUUGUGGUCACGGGAAUCAACCAGAAGCAUGAGGGCAUCCUGACCAAGGGCUUCAGAUGCAGGAUAGCCAAACAGAUUUUCCGCAGACCGAUUCCUGUAGCAGUAAAUGACAGAAUUUGGUGAAAAGGGAAGCACUAACAAGAACAAAAUGGGAUUAAAUUAAGAAAACUUGUGCAGAACCAGUUGUGCUUUGUAGUGCAGUUUAGAAGCACGCACACUUACCAAACUAAGUUGUUUGUCUGAUUAAAGGCAAAGAAGCAGCAUUUCAAAUUUUACAAAUGAUAAAUAGACUGCCAUGGAGCAAACUGCAUAUUCUGUCAAUAUUUAAAUUUAAAUAAGAAACGCAAGUAAAAAAAAUCAACUACCAUUCUACCAACAGAGUGCAUUUUGUGACUUAAUGCUGACCCUCAACCAACGAACAGUAACAAGAUGUUUAAUGAAGGCAGAACUUCACAGUACUCAUCACCAGAACCAGCUAGAGUCUAUGCAUCCCAUCUAGUAUUCAAUUACCGUGCCUUAGCACAGAUGAUAAGUAACCCUAAUAUCCUUACAGAGUUAGGGUUCUAUGUGCACCAACAGUGUAACAGAGUGUCACCCACACUAUCCCACUGUAACCACUAUUUCUAACCAGUAUCACAUGCUAUGCUAGAUAAAAAUGAUACACAGAGAUUGCUAGUGCCCGAACACAUUUCAUUUAGGUUGCAAUGUCACUUACUCACUUCGUUUCAGGUGCUAGAAUCAAAAUAUCUGACCAGCAUGACCAUUGGAUUUCCUCAAACGUUGUCAAGCUUAUAGGUUGCAGGCAAGCAAAUCAAGAAACGCUGAAGAACCAGAAAUCUAACCAGUAUAUGAUCCUUCCAUCGAGGUCGAGAAUGUGGACGGACUGCCCCAGCGACUGCAGCACCCUGGAGUACUGCCUCUCAGGCAACCUAGCGCUGGUGCUGGCGUCUCCGGCGCUAGUGGCGCGGCCCUCGCGCUGCAGCGGUGACGAGUGCGGGAACGAAUUCGAUCCCCGGGCCCACGCCCGUUGACCGCCCUCGAACCCCCCGGACAGCCGCCUCCCCGGCGGCUUCCCCUUGUAAUGCGUCGGCGGCGGGGGCACCGGCGCGCCGCGCUGCGGCGAGACUGACUGCGAGCGCCGCCGCUCCGCGACGCCGGGUAUGAGCAUGGACAUCUCCUGCUUGAGCUGCGCCUGCCCAACCUCCAGCUUCCGGAUCUUCUUCAGGAGCUCCUCCCCACUGGACUCCAUCCCCGCCGGCGCCGGCGCCGGCGUCCUUGAAACUGCUGAGGCCGACUCGUCCUCAAACCGAGCCAACCGCCGGCAUCACCGCCCUCCCGAGCGCCCUAGAGCUGCCGCCGCCGCCGCCGCGUCCGCCUCGCCUUCUCCAGACGGCCCCUCGGAGCUCGAAAGGUCGCUCCUUUCUCCGCUCCCGAGGCAGAUUCGACGGCAGAUGGAGCAGAAACUGCGCGCUCUCCGAUUCUCCGAGAUCUCUAGCAGCGAUUUCCCGGACAGGAACCGGCUGAAUCGAGGGAAAAAUACGAUCUUUUCUGGGGAGCAGUUCUAUCUCCCUCACAAGUCACACACACGCAUCCAGAUGGAGAUUGAAUAAAAUAAUAUCAAUAAUAAUGGGGAGAAUAAAUGGUAGAGAGAGAGAGAGAAAAUAUAUAUAGGAUAUGGAGGGAAAUGGUGACUUGGUGAGUUGUUCUUGAGUGUUCUCCUCCUGUGAUUGGUCAGCUUGGUGAUAAAAAAACUGCAGGGGCUGCUUGCUUGGCUUCCUAAUGCCAUUUUAUGUAUCUGGUCUUAGUUUUUGUUUGGCAUUUUGGAGUCUUCCCAAAAUACUUUCUAACCAUUUUCAGUUUCUGCAAUUUGAAGUUUUUCUAUAAUUUCCUCGGGUGUUGUGUUGAUCCACACAGGGCCUGUCCCUGUCCCUAUCCAUCUACCUUGCUGCCAGUGCCAACCUGUGUUGUCACCCUGUUGAAAGAAAAAAAAAUUGGCAAUUGGGAAAUUGGUUGGUGUACUACACAUCACAACUCACAAGGGGGCUUGCAGCUUGCUAUUCUCACCUGCUGGCCUGCUCACGUCUCGUUUAGUUGUCAAAAUUUGGAGUGCCAAAAUGACUGUGCCAGCACUGUAGCACACUGUAGCGUUUCGUUUGUAUUUGUGAAUUAUUGUCCAAACAUUGACUAAUUAGGCUCAAAAGAUUCGUCUCGCAAAGUACAACAAAACUGUGCAAUUAGUUUUUAAUUUCGUCUACAUUUAGUACUCCAUGCAUGUACCGCAAGUUUGAUGUGACGGGGAAUCUUCUUUUUGCAUAGUGUCAAAGUUGGAAGUUAGGGGUGAACUAAACAAGGAUCUGGUGUUGUGUUGCUACAAUUUCGGGCUAGGGUUAGGGUUAGUACGUGCUUGGCUUUUACAGCGACUGUCUUUUGGUCUGUGACUGCAUGUGUUGCCAGUUUUUGUUUUGGUGCUCAUUCAUGUGUUUUGUUUUUGUUGCUGUGUUGUAGGGCCCUUUUGUGGAUGUCUAUAGAUUAGCACUCAACUGUCUGGAGCUGCAAGCUUCCCUGCCACAAUUUCGGUCACCUUUUUUUUCACUUGCGUUUGUUGUAUUGUUGAUAUUCUUUAUGUGGUGGGUAUACUUUUGACCAAAAGAUCUGGUCAUGCCCAUGUCUAGCUCUAGUAAUACCCAAGCAAGAUGUACCAAGGAAAAAAUGAUGUAUGAAUAUUAGUUCAACUAUCAUGGGAUGGGACAAAGUUCUGAUUAGCUAGCUCUUUAAUGCUCCAUGUGGCCUGACUUGAAUUCAAGAUUUAUAAGACAAAGGUUAUGCUUAAUCACCAAGGAAAAAGUUUGAGAAGUAUCUAAAAAAAGAAGAAAAAGAAAUAAUAAUAUACUCCCUCCAUUUUAAAUUGUAGGUCGUUUUGAUUUUUCUAGAUUUGUAGAUGUUUGUAUGCAUCUAGACAUACAAUAUAUUUAUGUAUAUAGUAAAAAAUAUUCAGCUAGAAAAGUCAAAACGACCUACGAGACGGGAUACUCCCACCCGUUACAAUCGUUACAAAAUAACUAAGGUUUUAGAUAUUGAUGACAUAGUCCUCAAAACACAAUUUUAACUAUUAAUUUUCGUUACAAAAUAUUUAUAUUGUAUCUCAAGGCAAAACUACUGAAAUAUCAAUUGUAAAUAUCUAAUAUAUGUCAACAUAUAAAAAGUGAUUUAUAGCCAUUUUUUAUUUAGGACAGCCUAGAGGGAGUACUAACAAACCGUAUGUCUUUUUGACAAGUAAAUCAUCUCCGGUAUUCCCCUAAAAUAGUUAUGUCCUAUAUUAAAUUAUAAUUUCAGGUACAUUAAUAUAGUUUCAGUCUACCGAUUUUUCUCAUAAAUGUCAACUGAUUAACAAACUUUGCUUUUGCUGGUUUUGACCAUUGAGCAAUAUUUUAGUCUUGCAGACAACUUCUGGCAAAUCAGAUGCAUUUUUCUAUCAUUGGCUUGCACCGCCAAAACCUGAAGUCAACGUCAUGAAUCGUAGUCACACGAAAUAUAUAUAUAUAUAUAUAUGUAUAUGUAUAUAUAUGUAUAUAUAUGUGUAUAUAUAUAUAUAUAUAAUACUCCAUCCGUUCCUAAAUUAAAUUAUAGGUCCUUAUGGCUCUUUUAGAUCUAUAGAUAUUAUUACGCAUCUAGACAACUAAAAAAUCAAAACGAACUACAAUUUGGAACGGAGGGAAAAAUUAUGUUAGCUUUGCUCUAGCUAAAAUAGUCAAGCAUCAGGUCCAGGUACAUUGAACUGUUUCCAAAUCCCCUUUAUGAAUCCAGAUAACCAUCCAGCAGUAACAGUUAGAGCAAAAAGAACGGCAUUUAUCCGAAAAUAGUCAGUCUGUCGACCAAUCUCUUUCAGCUGUCAAGUUUGCCUAGGUUUCUCAGAGAUAGUCGUCCUCGCACAAGAGCAUAUUCCUUCCAGAAACAUUGGAUCACAAGCAAUCAUUAGCUUUGCAUCCAUAUGAAGCAAACCCUUUCCUGGAAGUGUUUUGCUCCCGGACGCGAUUCUUGCUUGUGCAGACGUGCAGUACAUCCAUGAACCUUUUGCAGUUCGACUAUCUGGAUCUGGAUAUGGUGUCCAGUGCUUCAGCUUAGUAGCAUAUCAUGAACAGAUCAUCUGUGAAAAAAAGAGAGAGGAUAUUUUCAAGUAAUUUUCACUGUUCGUUCACUAUUUAGAACUUGAUUAACAUCAACUCUUAAAAUUUAGUGAAUAAAGUCGAGAUAUUUUUGUUAGACUUUCCAAUAGAGGCGUUUUUUGAGUAUUGUAUAUUUAUCACUAUUUGCAUACAUUAUAGACACAUGUGAAAAGUGACACUCAAAUUUUAAAUACUGAAAUAAGUAAUGAGAAUUGUUUGUAAACAAAAGUAGCACAAAGAUAGGCUACGCUACUCAGCUAAUCAAAUACAUACAUCAGCUUUCCUUCAGAAAGAUAAAGAAAUCAACUUGCAAAAAGGGAUAUUUGCAGAUCGCAAUAGCAUGCUCAACCAAUUGCGCACCUGGACCACAUAUUCUCUUUCCUUUUUCUCUGGCUUGAAUUGUCACACACAGCAAAUGGUUUUUAAUUAUUUCUUUUGACCACCCCUCGUGCCAGAUGUCAUUUCAAUGACUGAAAAUAUCCAAAAGGGUGAAAGAAACAUAAUUUCCAGAAUUCCCGCUUCUGUCUUGGCCCAUUUGCAUGGCUGACAAAUCUCCAUGUAAAAGUUAUCAUCUCCAGGUCCAAUUAUGCAAGAUGAACUAUCAGAUAUUGGCCACAGCUGCAAAUCUGAAUCAGCAGAGAACACAUUGCACUGGUCUUCACCACUCUUUUCGAGCUCCAGCCUUUACAACCCUUCCCCAGCCAGCCACUUGAGCUGCUGCCACACAAAAGAGCCACAGCCACAGGCUGUUCAUGAACGGGGAGGUGCUCUAUCCUCUGUGCAUCUUCAGCAAAGCUGGCAUCUUUCCAAGCAGCAAAGGC